UUUUUGCUUCUGCCUUUGGCUGUAGUUGUUUUUAUUAGAAUAUUUAGCAAGCAAACACCUCUGAAAUUUCAGGUAAAUUAAAAUAUAUUGAGACUGCCUCACCUAUAGUUAAUCUAAAAAUGUCCCUUGAACGGUAAAAUUUGAGUUAAUCUUUUGCAUUUUGACUUCAAAAUUUGAUUGCGUCAUUUAUCUUUACAGAUUUGUUAGUAUCCUUAAUUGCAUCAUUUAUCUUUACAUAUUUAGUUAAUAUCCUUAAUUGCAUUAUUUAUCUUUACAGAUUUAGUUAGUAUCCUUAAUUGCAAAUCUUGCAUCUACAAACUUAUAAUUAAAAUAAGUAAUUAACUUAAAUUUUAAAGUUACAGAGCACUGUUGACUCACUCAAAUCAAAUAAAUUGAAAGUUAGAUAGUAAAAUCAAAAUUUUAAAAGAUUAUGCAGUUAAUUCAAAAUGAUCCAUAGUUAAGGUGAUAAAUUAUGUACGUUCUUACCUAGUUCUUAUUACUAUAGUAUGGUAUUUGCAUUGGCCAAAUUAAUUCCUUGGGCAUGGAUGUAUUGUUUUUGUUAAUUCGAUGUGUUGUUAGUAUUCUCUAUAAGAAAACAAAAAGAAAAAAAAAUUUUAAAUAGGAACAUUUAGUUUUAAACACUGAUCAAUUUAAUGAUCCGAGGAUCCAAAUGACAAAACCCAAAUGGACCAAAGUCGGUUGGUAUUUAAAAAUUCAAUUAUUAGUAGUUUAGAUGAACCUAUUUGGUUCGUGAUUACAAUAGAAAUGGAUAAUAGAAUUAGAUUAUAUUAAUUGGAAAAUUAGAUCAUAUUAACUGGAAAUGAAGUGGCUUAUCAUCUAAAAAUAUUUGAUUUAUUAGUAGAAUGAAACUCAAAAUGGACAAUUGGGAUAAAUAGGAUUUUGAAAGAAAAUUUUGGUUAAGUUGAGGAGAGUAACAAAAGGGAGAGGAGACGGGGAGAAGUUUGUGAGAAAGAGUUUUGAGAGAUUUAGUCUGGAAUAGGCCGAUCUAGAAUUCAAAAUCGAAUUGGGUCACAAAUUAAUUAAGCUGCUCCCAUUCUGGAGUGGAAUGGAAAUUAAAAUCUAAUUUUUGUAAUACAAACAACAACUAUCAUAAUCAAUAAAUCUUAUUCUGAUUUUAGAGUCCAAACGUGGUGAACUAAAUAAAAUAUUCAAAAAAAAUAAUAGUAACAGCCUUAAAUUUUACUGAUCUUUUCACUUCCUACACUAUACUAUUUUUCUUUUUCUAGAGCAUCACUCAUCUAUUUAUUAUUUUUCUUGUUAAUUCCUAUUCUAUAAGCAAGAAACCUAUACUUGUAUAUAAAAGCUAUUAAAAAAUACUUGUUAAAAGUGGCGAAAUAUAUAUUCAACUCAUUUUGACACGAAGAAUAAUAAAAUACAUAAAAAUAACAAAAAAAUUGAAAAUAACUUAAUAGAAAUUUUUAACAAGUCUCUCAGUAAAGUUAUUAGAUUUUGUUUAAAACAAUAAAUUUGUUAACAACGAUAUAGAGAUUGUCACGCUCUGGAUUACACGUUUUUCUCGGCACGCCAACAGACCCGUCAUAUACAUAGAAAUUUCUCCUGUAUACGAAGUGAUAGCUAUACCUGUAAACAAAACCAAGCUACAACCAUAAGGCAGAGAUCUGCAAAACUGAAAAUAGUAUCUAUAUGAAAACCUCGAAGGGUUUCAGUACAUACAAAAUUGUGACGACCGAACUUCCCAGGGGGUCACCCAUCCAAGGACUACUCCCGUCCUAGCACGCUUAACUCUCUUAACCUCUUGGGCCUUGUCACCACCCAAAAUGCUUAAGCCGGGUUAAGAGUUUAGCCCUAUUAUAUCUCAUAUAUAGGACUAUCUGGGGUCUCACAAUCUCCCCUCCUUUAAGCCCUGACGUUCUCGUCAGGCUCAGACUCACAAGUACCAGGCAAUGUGAGACUCGUCUCGCUAGCCCGUCAUCCAGACCCUGGCUCAGCCGAGACUCAUCUCACACUUCCGGCUGGUAAUUGGCUCUCGAUCAACCAUAUAUUGACGACCUCAACCUUCCAGUGGGGGUUCACCAUCCACUAUAGGCCUUCACUCCCGCUCCUAGCACGUUAACUCUUUAACUUUUGGGCCUUUGUCACCCACCCAAAAUGCUUAAGCCGCGUGUUAAGAGUUGUAGCCCUAAUUUAUAUCUACAUACUAUAGGACUAUCUGGCGGUCUCACACACAAACAAAAAAACAAAAUGACCGUUUUCCGCAACUCUCUUCGCUGCUUCAAAAUCGCUUUUAAAAUCGGGCCUCCGCGUUCGUGACAGCAAUUAAAAUCCGGUAUCAGAAGUGAAACAAGCUACACACUGGCAUUACAAGUUUUUCUAACAAUCAUCGACACAUCUGGUCCUAGGUUGGACCAUAGGCACGACUAAGUACUAUAGGCCACGUGCAGCUGCCGGUGUUUGGGUUUGAAUUCCGGUGGUCGCUAUGUCCAGUCGUUGGGGUCUGUUGACGGCCAAGCCCUCCGGCUGUUUCUGUUCAGAUGGCUCCGGUAAGGCGCCCCCUUCGUCCGGGGCGUCGCCGUGGUGAGCGUCGCUGCGGAAUUUACGCCUGCCGCGGGCCGUACUCGUGCUCUUCCGAGUGGCCCGGUGAGUUGGGGCAGCAGUUAGGGCGCCGGAGCCGUGAGCCGCCCCGUCCACGCUGGUACUUCGGACUCGAGCCAGCUCGAGGCCCAGUAGCUUAAUUGAGGGGUCAGGCUGGAGCGCCCCUCCUCUGGUUUGUUUCAGCAGUUCUUCAGCAGCAGGCGCGAUGCGGGCGACUGCCUACCCCGGAGCCGAUUUUGAAAAGCAUUUUGAAAAGCAGAGUGCGAAAAGACGUGUCAAUUUUUUUUUUUUUUCUUCCACCGGGCCCACGUUGACGUUACAGGCGGCCCGGCCACCAUACAGUUUCCUCUGAUCCACCUGGGCAGCGCUCUCCUUUUGUUUUGCACGGCCGCCCGUACCAAUCGGAACAACGGAUCACAACCAGAAACCUACAUUUUACCAAUCAACAUACCAAGUAUGAUAUGCAAUAUCCCAUACGAGUAACAAUCUUUAGAAUGAUGCAUGGCCUCUAAGUCACUCCUAUAGGACCGCUCUGAUAUGCAUGCACAAAUACAACAGGACAUCCUAUUAAAAGGUUGCUUUCCACACACGGAGCAUUUUAUUUUCUUUAAACUCUUAAUUCAAUCAUUCAUAAAAACCUUUCGAAAAAUCCUUUUUUUAAAACUGUUUCCCACACCCUGGAAACUUAUUUUGUAAGAACGACUACCUCGAGGGGUUAGAAAACCCGAUGCAAUUAACCGUACAAGAAAACCAAACUCCACGGAACCCAAACCACCGAUCGCAAAACUCCCAAUCUUCCAUUACAAUACGAUGGAAACCAAACACCAGCAGUUCAAUCAUUGCAAGCAUAAUAGAUCAGCAACAUGAGACCAUUAUUAAGGGAAAACUACUAAAGGUGCGGAAAGAACAUAAAUUCCAGGGUGAACGGUCGCUACUGCGUUAGCUAGAUCGUCUCUCGUUCGAGCCCAAAAACAACUGUUCUCGUCUCCUGUCACCUUGGGGGAAGGGGGUGAGAAAUCCUCCGCAACCAUGGUUUUUCUCAGUGGGUACGACAGAGCCACGAAGGCAAGUGUUAAUUCACCCGGAAACCAAGGAGCAUAGAUAAACGAGUAUAUAUAUAAGCUGUAUGAAAUAGAACUACGAGUAGCACAACAGAUAAAAUUAGGAAGCCAAUAAGAUGAACCUGGCUACUGUAUUAGAAAAUAAUGCAAAGAAUGCCUCAAUGUACUUGAACCAGAAACUGUACCCAAACCUGCGCUGGCUGCUAUGUCCUCGCUCUCUCCGCAGCACCUCCACAGCCAUAUCUUGUCACAUAACUCUGACGGACCCUGAUGCCAUCCGCCCGCAGGCCGGACCGACUUCAUCCGGAUAAGUACACCUCCGCAUCACGGUGGCCAAACGACUCCGUCUGUCAUGAAUACCCCAAGUGCCGAGUGACUAAGUCAAUGCUGAUAUGCUCAAGCAAAACCGGGCUAAAGCCGGGUGGCACUAGGCGAAAGCCACACAACCGAGGGACUUACAAUGCCAAACUGAAAUGAGAAGCAGUUAGGGGUACAACGGCCCGAACUGGAGUACCCGAUGGCCUUUUAGGCGCGGGGUACAAUGCCGACCUCGAAUCAACCUAGCAAUCGCAAACACACGACAAAAGAGAUCGUAUGUGUUGCCCCAUGGACCCAAGUGUCUACAAGAGACUACUGAAAUACAUAAGUAACCUUGGCUUUACAUGUCUAUCAACUACUAACAAUAUGCAAUCAAAGAGGUACGAUAUACGAAAGCAUAAGCAAACAAUGACAAUGUAGGAUAAAUCGGCGAAUUACGAAAACAAUGAGAAGAAGUGAACAACGCUCUUCACGUACUUACCAGCUCGGAAGCAGCCCCUGUCGACUGUCGCGUCUGGAACACACGGGUAGACACAAGUCUACCGGACCAUAAGAAGAUGCCACCAAGUCAGUAUCCAACCACUACCAAAGCACGGAGACUCACAGAACCCCCACACAGGGAAUCCCGUAAUCGACUUUUCCACAACAACCGCAUUACCUGGUAAAGCCACCGGACAGUCUCCCGAAAAACCACACCGGGACGCCGAUCGGACCCCACUAAGUGAUCACCGAACACACCGACUCGUACCACACGGAUCACCUGCCCAAAAACAUCCCAGAUUUGGAUGCCUUGGGCAGCGAGACACAAGGUCAACAACAAUUACGAUCAGUCGCCGGAUGAAUCGUUUACGGAUCCGGUUCCCGGAAGUUUAUUUCCAGACACCGCAGAGCCCUUCCGUCGCUAACCUAUCGUCAAUGAUACCCAUAAAAUGACGAUGGUGACCAGCCAACAAGGCUCAGCGACAAAACACGAAGCCAAUCCAAAAAACACCGUCGGAAAGGCAUCCCGACCGAAACCUGCGUUCUAUUCGGCGAAUUUCGCCGAAAAAACGCCAGACCGAAAUCGAUCUACGAUUUUCCGGACAAGCUAACGGGGACCGAUGGGAACGCAUCAGUUCCAGCGUCAAUUACAAACUCGUAUUACACGCCGUCCACAGAGCCACACAUAUGCACAAUUGCAUAAAAGCCCGUUAAUUAUCAUAAUAAUAUCAUUUUUUUAUGUAAUUAGUAGCCGAUUCAAGGUGCUCGAUACACGCAAACGAGGAUCUUCGAUAGUCCGCAUAGCACCACGUACUGAUAGGGGGUCUCGAUCGUACCGGAAGUCCGUUUGCUCACGAUCCGGAAGCACAGCUGGCCGCUGGCUGGGAAGCGCCCUGCCGGAGCCAACCCCGAAGGUUCAGCGCCAAUUAGCGGGCCUAGUAGGAAGAAGAUUCGCGCCCGAACAGAAACUAAACGGCACUUCUGAUCCAACAGUGACGCUCGUGACGCACCUGAUGAUCAGCACUGACCAACGAUUCACCUGUGCUACCUCCGGACGGCAUCCAGAGACCAGGCCUCCGCAUCGCCCGGAUAAGGUACGCCAAACUCCAAACAGCAGCCAAAAAAGGCCGAAAGUGAAAGCGACCAUCCCGCCGACAACAGCUCAACGGGUCUCCCGACAGAAACCAAGGUGAGCAGCAUGAUCAGCAACUUGCCAGGAUUCAUCCCGUGCUCCCUUCCGUAGAGAUCGGGGGAAGCUCGGCGGAACCAUAAAUCCCAUCACAAUAAAGCCCUAUUUCCGGGCUUUGGCCGUCGCAGCAACCUUGCUCCGGCCGGCCCUCGGCCGGCACGGCUCUGCGUCGCGCGGCGGCCAAGGGACGACGGUGCGGGGAGGUGAGGAGUGAGCGUGUUCUCACCUCAGACGCCCCCGGCGAGCGAGCGGCGGGGCCGCGCGGCCCGGCGGAGCCAAGCCGAGCCCGUACCAAACUACGAGCUCGCGCCGGUUUCAGGCGGCCACGCGCGGAGGGCCGGGGAGCUCCGGGCACGCCGCGCCGAGUGCGGGCUGCAGGACGGUCCGGGGGACGGAGGGGUAUUCGCGCUAACCAGCCAGCGUGGCCCGUUCUGUAGCUCGGAUAAUAGCCGCCACCCGAGCUCGGCUCGGUUGCGCAGACUGACGGGGCGGCGGGCGUCUUGGCCGGCGGCGGCGGCUCGCACGAGGCCGGCGCUUGCGACCGGCGGGCAAGUGGGGUGCUCGGGGUCGGAGGCGCCGGCGGGAGAGGUUCCAGGCUGCGUGGCGUGGCAUGCUGGGCUGGGCAGCUGGCAACCCUGGCCUCCUCGCCAUGGGGCUCGGCGCCAAAUGUGGCUGACAUGGGGAGCAAGCAGCGGCUGCGGCGGUGCCUCGGCGACGGCGGGCCAGUCGGCUGGGGAGGACGCCGGCGGUACUGGGAAUUCGGCAGAUGGGGUUUCAUCCAAACGGUUGGCAGCGCCGGCGCUCGGAUAAGGGCCGCACACAGGCCACCGGCUUGGGCUCGGGCUGGCGAGGCAGCAAGCGCGCGAUAGGCUGGCCGCCGGCGGCCGGCUCGGCGGCUCGCGGAGCCGGCCGGCGGCGGCUGCCCGAGCUCGAGUGGAAGGUGAGGCUGGCGAGGAGGGUUCGAGUGCUCCUCCCCUAGCUCAGGGUCCAAAGAUGUUUGGGAGGACAGUGGAAACAAGAUGAGGGAGAGGAAGGGGAAGGCUGAGGUGGUGGUUUGACGCGGCCGGGGCUCGGUCAGAGGGAGUCGGCGGUCGGAGGUGGUCGAACACUGGCAGGGCAGUUCAAGGGAGAGCGGCUGGUGGUGUCGUGGCCUAAGGUCAUUAGGGUUUUAGGAGUUUUGGUGAGACAAACCCUAAGAGAACUAUAUACAAGGGCGCAAACAUGCAAAAGGGCUCACUAAAACAUCGAAUUUUCAAUCCGAGCCUUCACCGAACGACUAAAAGCUACGCCGGGUCUCCUGUUCUAAAGGUGGUAAACGACCCUCCACGAUUGCGGAUCUCACGUUUAAAACGGUACAUAAAAUGUUCGCGACUUUCACGAAAAUACCGUCUUUUUUUUUGCACACUUAACCGACCUCUCCUCGCUAUCAACGCGCGAUUGCUCAGCAGAUCGUACCGUCAAUGUGGCGAACGAUUUGACCGGUGCCGAAUCAGCACCAAGCGAGAAACAAAGCUACGUUUCGAUUCUCGUCUGAUCGACCACGGAUUCACGACAAAAUCCAACCUUCUUCGAAUAGAAGGAAACACACACAUAAAUACAUAUAAAACAUGUAUUUUUGGAUUUUCUCGAAAUCCGUGCGUCGAACUCAAAAUCCGUCAGCGUCAUUAGCUCCAGAACAGCUGACCCGGUCGAAACGAGCUAUUGGACUGCUAUGACCAGAGUCCAGUACGAGCCAGAAGCCAAUUUCUCACCGUGGCUUCUCCGGAAAAUCGAGUUACUAUUCACUUUAAGUGAAACUUGGAAAUCGCGUAGAAUUUCCGUUUUAACUCGAUUUCGCCCGAAACUUGACGAGUGCUUUUGUAAUUAAAUUACACACAAAAACAUCGUCAACUGAGAGUUUAGCUACACUGCAAAAAUCUCAGUCCCUACAAAAAUCCAAGAUACAAAUAUUCCUCACACCAGCGAGUAAACCAGUAUAAGAAUGUACAUGAACCAAAAUACUCCAAAUCUACCUGUAGAUGGUACUACUCUAGUACUGCGACCAGGGAAGGGAUCUAGCUCGCGACUCUCUUUCCAGGAUCAGAAUCGGCGACAGCAGUAACCACAGAAGAAGGCUCUACAAAAAAGGGUCCACAACUGGGUAUGAAAACUACUGCAAGAAGGAAUAGUUCUCACCACUACCGACUUGAACGGCUCACUAACUAAGUCUACAGAAAGUAUGCAUAUGGAUAGUAAAAGAAGCUAGUAAAACUUUACAACUAUAUGCCACUAUACUAUCGCUAACCAACACUAGAUAUUUGUAGAUAUAAGCAAGAUGCAAUCUUUGACCCAAUCUCACAAGGGACUAUGAAUGCACCCGUCCCGCCUGUCGAAGCUACACCAACCACCACCACGCUGGAUUGUCGGUGGAGAGCAAGUCCAACGAGGACACUACGACAUCAACGCAAAAGCACAAAGCCAGACUCCGGAGUGGCACUCGUGGGCGCUACCCAACUGAGUAUGCAAGCGUAUCUCUGCCGAGCUCAAUCAGGCUCUCACAGGCUAUACUCAAAACAAAUGGGUUUAACUGGUCUAACAAUCAAAGCUCACGUGCCCUUGGCACAAUCUGAUAUAAAUAUAAAAAUCUGGGUCCAUUGUCAAUCGCGACGGCACCCGACAGUCUGAAACAGUUUACACACUACUGUAAAAAUAAACUCGGCAUUCCAGCACGAGCGUAAACUCAUUCUAUACUAAUCUGGAUUUCCAUCGCAUACUAACAGCGACGAUACAAAAGAACCACAGCUCCUAAAACUAAAUCUAAUAAUUUUCAGAAAUGACAGUGUGGAAUCUAUAUGUUUUCUCCUAAGUCAAUUCCAAGUCCAACAUGUAAAAUUAUACUACUGGCUUAAUUCCAAAUUCAAACUUUAUCUCUCAUCCAUAUAUAAAUUCGAGUACUAGCAAGGAAAUAAACCAAUGAAUAUGUCGACGAUACAAGAACUUAGGAGGUAUUCCGACGAUUUCGGUAAACUUCAACCCACCUCGAAAAACUAAUCCAACAACGGCGAGAAGUCGAAAGAAGAGGAAACUACGUGCUCUCCCGACCUCCCAAUGAUACAACCACAACGCCCGCGCACUCAAACGGCCCUCCUGAUCGAGUCGACAACCUCUCGAGCUCGAGCCGCGACCUCAACCCACGGACGAGUCCACUAGCUAAAGAGAGAGGAAAAUGAGAAGAAGAACCGACUUCAAUACUCUCUCUGUGAAUAUAAAGGCUGUGGAUAACCUUGGGUACGUUGAUCGACACUGUUGGAAGGACCAAAAUGCUCCUUACCAACUCAAAAAUCUAGCUAGAGUACCGGUACCCGAUUUGAUUACCGGUACUCGGCCUCUCAGCCCGCAAACUCGCACACAGGGUACUGGUACCAGUCUGAUGCUGUACUGAUACUCAGCAUCAGAUUGACACAAUCCGAGAGCAGUAUGUUCUGGAAAUACACAGGGAUACCGGUACCAGUUCGAUACCGUACCGGUACUCAACGUUGAAAUCCUACACUUUGCGGAUUUCAGCGUCAAAACUGCACUCUCGCCUCGCGUCGAGUCCAUUUUGCGUUUAUUUCGCGCCAAAACGACUCCGACUUAUCCCGACACUCUCCAGAUGUGUCGACAAGCCUCAAAUGAUGAGAUCUCACAGACAAUCUAAAAAUAGAGAUACUACAGAGAUUGAGGAGAAAAAAAAUAGUUUAAUUAUAUCUAGUAUAGGGAUUGAUAAUAUAGUAUAGAAAUUGAUAAAGUACAAUCAUAUAAUGAUAUCUUCAAAAUUUUUUUUGAAAAGUACUAUAAAUAAAAAUAAUAAUAAAAUAUAGUAUAGUAUAGUAUAUAGUAUAAUUAAGUCAUAAUAAUACAACAGUAGCAAAAUAGAUUGGUGCGUGUUCCAAGGAGCCUGGUGCAUGUCCAUUCGUACGUUAAAGGUUGUUAUAUUAAUUCUUAUUUCUAUGAUGUGGUACCGCAUUUUUGUCCCAAAAAACCAAAAGAACAUGCAGUGUCGCAUGGGCAAACCCCUUUGGACAUGGAUGUAUUCAUCCUGUUCGAUGUGGUUGUUUAGUCCUAUGAGAAUAUUUGCACUGUGCCCCUUGUGACGCUAAACUGCUCGAUUGCUCUUGGUGCCUUGUGCUUUAAAAUUCCUAUUUGGGAUCCUCUACUGUUUACAGUUAGUUUGCUAUUAACCUACUCUCAGGCCCCUUUGGUUCGGAGAUAACGAAUAUUGAGAUAAAGUUUUUUAUCCUUAGAAUAUCUUUUUAUUUUAGGAUGAUCGGAGAUAAAAGUAAAAUUAUAUUUGAUUUGUAAUGCUGUUAUUUUUUAAAAUAAUUAAAAUUGUAUUUGGUUAAUUUUAUGGAAUAAUAAAGGAUAGUGAAAAAAAUGAUUAUUGAAUUGAUAUAAAAUAUAAUAUCUUAUAAAAAUAAUUCAUUAUAAUAUUUAACAAAAAUAAUUUAUUAAUAAAUUAUAAUUUAAUAAAAAUAAUUUUUUCCUAUAUAAUUUUUUUAAAAAUUCUAAUUAAACUUAAAUCUAAUAAAAAUAAUUUAUUAUAAUAUUUAAAUAUAAAUAAUAUAUUUUAAUAUAGUAUAAUUAAUAAUUUUAUAAUAAAAAUAAUAUAUUAUAAUNUAGUAUAAUUAAUAAUUUUAUAAUAAAAAUAAUAUAUUAUAAUAUAUAACAUAUUAUAUUUAUAUAAUUUAGUUUUCAUUCAAUUUAAAAUUUUUUAACAAAGUUUGAAAUUAAAUUUUGAACUAGACUAUCCCGCCAAAAUGGUGGAAUAGUAAAUCUUAAGCUAUUCCGGAAUAGCCGGGAAUAGUAAGGUGACAGGGAUAAAGUAUUUAGGCCAAAAAGCGCCCCAUUUGGUCGAAUAGCUAGCGGGGAUAACUUUUGUUAUCCCUAUUUUAUCCCCGAACUAAACUGGGCCUUAGGACAUAAAUAUUAAAUUGAGGUACCCAUUCUAUUGCAGAUCUCAUCUUACCCUCUAUUUUUCAGCAGUUACAUAACUCUUCAUGUCAAAAAAAAAAGAUUGUUUAGAUCCAAUGGGAUCGAAUCUUACCAAUUUAUUUCAACAUUAAAUCAUAAUAUAGAUAUUUAUUUAGUACAAUAUGUAUACGAUAUAUAGCUCUUUUCAUCUACUCUUAGGAUGGCUUGAUUAUACAUAACUGUAACUAUACUGCAGUUGUAAUUAUAUGGCGCACGUGAUGCCAUUUAAAUUUACCUGUUGGAAUUAUACAAGAUGGUUCAACUAUAACAGUUGGAGCUAUAUUCUUAAAUUAGUCACAAUUCCAACUACAGUAUUUAGAUAGAGAAUAAGUAACAAAUGGUAAGCUUAUCUCUCAAAUAACAUUUUAAAUAGAAAAUAUUUUUUUCACACAUCUGAGUAAACUCACUAUCCUAAUAUGAAAAUAAUAAAAUACUAUAACAGCACUUUUCAAGCGCUUACAACCAAAUAAAUUAUUUAUAGUUGCAAAAAUUUCAAUUACAUCCAACCAUGCAAGAUACAUGUAAUCAUAGUUGCUGUAUUUUUUCUACAUGGAUAUCAAACUAUAUUGCAUUUAUAAUUACAUUUAACCAAAUGGUCUUGUAACACCUAUAGAAUUUAAAACAAUCCUAUACAUAAAAUAAUAGAGCUAAAUCUCUUAACUCGCUUAAAAUAUUUUGGAUAAUGGUUAGACCCAAGUGGUUAAGAAAGUUAAGUAUGUUAACAUUAGAGUAGUUCUAGAAUAUAUGGAUGACUCCUUAAGAAGUGAGGUGUCACAAUUGGUAUCAAAGUCAAUCACUAGUUAAAAAUAUGAGAGGAGUUUCGACUGAGAUUGAAUUAUAUAGCGGAUAGAGUGUGCUUCUCGGCUGAUGACUAUUGUGGGUGGAGCACGACUCCUCACACGGUAGCCUAAGGCUAGUGAGACAAGUUUCCCAUCCAUUUAGUGGUGGAGAAUAUAAAAUUCAGAAUAUAAAACUAAGAAGAGAAUAUGAAAUUCAGAAUCUUCUAAUUUAUUAUCAUAUUGAAACAGUCAUUCUAUUUUCCCAUCCAUUUAGUGGUGGAGAGUUGCCCAAUAGUCACAUCCAUACUAUGACUAAUGGAGAAAACUCCAUCUUUGAAUGAAUACGUACGUAGGAUGUAUAAAAUACACUCACUUAUAAGUGUAUCCGGCCCUAGCAUUGCUCAUAAGAUAAAGCUAUAAAAAUAUAUAUAUAAUAUUUUAAAUAAUUUAAUACAAAAGUUCUAUCUCAUAUAAUUAAGGGGUAAUUACGUAUAUAUCCCUGAAAAGUUUCCGACAUUUCGAUUUAUCCAUCUUAAAAGGCUAAUAUUAAAAAUAGCCUUUCUACUUCCAACCUAUUUCUAAUAUAUUUCUAGAGUUAAAAUCUGUUAAUUAAUUCUGUUAUCUCUGUAAAAUUACUAUUUUGCCCUUUCAAAUAUACUCUUCCACCAUCACUGACCUUCUUAUUUGUCCUUAAAGUCAGGGGCACAAAAAACAUUUUAAACUUUUGGUCUUUUCCAAUAUAUCCCUCUGUCGUCACUAAUAUUUUUUAUUUAUCCUCAAGUUAAGGACAAAAUUGGUAUUUUAAUUUUUUUUAACUGUGAUAGAUAUUUAACUCAUGUUUAACCUAAGUUAACUUAAUAGGAGAUAACUGCGGGGGUAUUUUGCAAUAACGGUGGUACAUAUGGGGGGUAUUUUAAAAAGAAUAAAAAAAAUAGUAAGAAUAAAUCAGAUAUUUUCAAACGUAUGAGAAGUAUAUAGGCAAUUUUUUCUAGAAUUAAUAUUCUAUUCCAACGUUCUAUUCAAAGAAGAAUAAAGCUUUUUCUUUAUAUAUUAAUUAUUCUCUCGAAAUAGCUCUAUAUCUAUAUAAACAGGCUACGAAGCCCAACGCAGUCACUCAUUCCCUACAUCAGUCACACUCCCACUUUCUCGUUACUGUUCGUACUCUUUUGCUGCAGCAGUACCAGCCUCGCCUCUUCCUCUUCCUCCUUUCUUGGUAAGUUAGGACUUAGCUUCUUAAUUUGCUAAUGCAGUUGGUCACCGAACCAAAUCGAAUUUUCUUUUGAUCAAUAAACCUUUUAAGUUUGAUAUUAGGGACCAUUCAAGAUCCUCAAUUUUCGUAAUUGUUUCAUCACUUUAGUUGCUUCACUUUAGUACUUUCCUUAGAAUGAAAAUUAUCUGAUUUAUUUAUACGCUCGUACUCGUACAUGUACAUCGUAAACCAUUGGCUUCUCAUGUGUUUAAAUAUCUAAGUAAAUAGAAGGAAAAACUUCAAAAUGUCCAGGUGUGGUAUAGAGCAUUUUUUCACUUUUCCAUCCAAUGGUUAAAACUUUACACUUUGAUCCCAUGCAUUUUAAUUUUUAUUCUAUAUCAAAUAACAUGACAAACAAAAACUUUUGAAAGACCAUAGAAUGGCAAAGUUUUAGUAAUGUUCUAAACUACAUAGUAGUUAACUAUAACUUUUUAAACCAAACCACAGAAUACUAAAAUAAAUUGAGCUAAGCUACAAGAGACAAAGUGCAACUUUUUAAAAUCGGGGCAAUUUGAAGUUUACCCUAAAUAAAACAUAGCAACUCAAUGGACGACAAGCUUAAAAAUUGGAUGGAUGCACGUUACAUGAAUAUGGAGAUGAAUCACGUGUGGGUAAUAGUUUCUUCUUUAAUUGGAAGUAUAUAUAGAUAGGAAUCAAAAUGAUAGUUUGAAAAGUUUAGUGGCAUAAAUGAAAAAAAAAGGAAGAAAUGUACUAACACUCACUGAAUUCUAAAUAUUUGCUAAAUUAAACUUCCAAUUUUCGUAAAAAGAUCUCCUAGACUUCACCAAAUAAGCAAAGUCACAAGCUAAUUACUACAACAAAAUAUAUUUUAGACGACACUUUUUAGACGAUGCUCUAUUGUAGCGUCUUCAAUAUUUGGCAUGUGCUGACACUAUGAUUAAGCGUAGCCAAUAAAAAUAUUUUUAUCAAAACUGAUAAAAAUUUUUCGACACUAUAUUAAAGCGUCGACAUAUUUAUUCCGACAUGUUUACUUAACGACUCUUUACCCGACGUUUAUAUAAACGUCAGGGUUAUUCUUGUUGAUGCUUUAAAAUGUCGCUAGUUAAUUAUUUUUUGAGAAUAGGUAGCGCACUACCUACUUCAUUCAUUGAAAGAGUAAAUUAGGCUACAGGGGUGAGACAAUCAGGACCUCGAAAAAAAAUAAAAUAAAAUAAAAUAAAAUAAAGGCUAUUAGUAAUCAAAAAGUAGAUCCAAUGGCUAAAAACACACAAGUAUCACUUGGGUGAUACUUGUAAAAGUAUUCUAGCCCUACUCUCUCUCUCUCUCUCUCUCUCUCUCUCUCUCUCUCUCUCUCUCUCUAUAUAUAUAUAUAUAUAUAUAUAUAUAUACCAGCUACUAUACUAUUACGAGUACGAUCGCUCUCGUACUCAUAAAUCAUUUUCGAUGAUAGAGCUUCCGAAUCGACGAACCAUACCGUUAAAUAUUAUUUACAACAUUUAAAACUUCUAGAAAUUAAAUUUUAUAAUUUUUCGACAUCAUUUUCCUUACGAUCAAGAGGUCACAAAUUUGACAGUUUUUAAUGGCUGGUAUGGGAUACUUACCAGUUAACGCUGUAAAAGAAUCGGAAUUUGUUGUACUUUUGAUAAAAAAAAUUUUAUUCACUAUCUAGAUAAAGGUCAAUAACUCUGAUCUUGAAUUGAAGGAUCCGAUCAUCCUUUUUUAAAACGUCGUUCGAUUUUGACCGUUCAUUUUUUGCCCGCUUGAUGGACUUUAUUAUGAUUUCAAAAAUUUACGAAAUUUAUCUUCUAGAAGUUUCAAAUACUCUAGAUCAUAUUUAACGGAGUGGAUCGUCGAUUUGGAAGCUCCAUCAUCGAAAACAACUUAUGAGUACGAGGGCUCCAAUACUCAUAAUAGUAUAGUAGCCACGGCCUNGACCUACAUUGGCUCCAAUUAGAUAAUGGGCUUUUUGUGUCACACUAGGCCAUGGACCCAAUACAACACUGUCGACCCGGCCCGAAUCCGGUCUAUUUCCGUAUUUAUUAAACUGGAAUAUGACAUCUGACCAAAUCACGUACACGUAAACACACCAUCUAGCAAAUAGCUUAUCAACUUUCACUUAAGUUCACAUUGCUUAAUUUCCAAAGAUGUUGACUAAAACCAUAUGAUUAAAUCACCAUUGAGUGUUGCAAUCACCUUAGUGUUAAUUUUAUUUUCAUUAAUUAAUCAAUUAAUUUGGCCGUAGAUAUUGCUCUACAACAAUUACGAGGAAAUAUCAUUGCACCCCCCAAAAACUAUCUAUAAUUAUUUCGGCUGUUUUAAGCUGUUAUUUUUGGAAUGAGCCAAUUUUAGUUUUUCAGAGGGAGCUUUGUGCGAAAAAUGCUAUCGUCUCGACUCUCUUGAGACUCCAACUAUUUUCCCUCUUCCUCGAUAGAGAGAUAGAGAGAUAGAGAGAGAGAGAGAGAGAGGUGGCGUUCAUGGGGUGCUCCUUCUCGGGAUUGAACGCGCUCUACGGGGCGAUGAGUUGGGGAGGGGACGUGUGCCGCUGUAUUAUUAAUAGUAGGGAUGUCCGGAAUUGAUUGGAUAUGUUUGGUGUAUUAAUAAUGAUUCAAGGGUGAAAAAGCGGAUUGUAUAUAUUAUUGUUCCAGCUAAACUCAUAAUAAUACAUAUAAAUAGAGAGAGAGAGAGUCUUUAGAAACAUUUAUUAUAAACAAAUCUUCUUUUGUUUUUAGAGAGAAAUAUUUGAUUAAGAAAAAUACUUAUUGUGUACCAAAAAAUGCUGUAGAUCCUACACUCCAUCCUAGGGAAAAACUCAAAUGAGAUUUAGUAAAAUAUGAAAAUAGUUGAUGUUACAAGUAAAAAAGUAAUGGUUCUUGAAUGGUAUAGGUGUAAGAUAUACAUCACACUUUGGAGUGUACCAGUAGUAUUAUCUUUUUAUUAGACAUCUUUGUUAUUACUAAAACUAAUGGAUUAUAACUUUCAUAUUUAACUGUUCACUUGUCCCUGAAAUAUCUAGAUUUUAAUUUUAUGAUGUAUGCACUAUUAAUUUCAGAAGGAGCUUGUAGUGAUCAUUAUUAUAAUUCAAGCUUUUAAUGGUGAUCAAUUGUCUUUAUAAUGUUCUUUAAUGUGUUUUGUUUAAAAUUUGGUGGCAAUAGUAAGUGUUUGAAAGCAUUUUACAGUUUAAUUAAGUAUACCUUAUAAUAACAUUUGUAAUUACUAGUAUAGCAUGUAUCUUUUAGCGGCAUUUAUUUUUAUCUUUACCAGUUGUCAGAAUAAAAGUCGUUAAAAUCUUUUUCGAUCCUGCCUAGAGCGGCAUUAUCUCCAUUGUUAGUACACUAAUUGGCGACAAAUACAAAUGUUGGAAUACAAAUGCUGCUAAUUUAUAAAGUAAUCGCUGCUAAAAGUUAAUUUUGUUGUAGGUACGUACGUACCCUAAAAACAAGGGAUGUAUUGGAUCAAGAGAAAAUGCCAUUGUGAUGCAUGAAUUAAUUGAAAAUAGCUACAUAUUAAAACUAGGAGUGGAAAUAUAAAUAUUUAAAAUUGAGAUAUCUGUUUUUAAUUUUUAAAAUUUAAAUCUUAAAUUAAAAAUCUUGUUUUUAAUUUAUAAAUUUAAUCGGUUAAUUACACAAUUAGUCCCCAACCUUUGCACUGAUUUUUAAUUUGGUCUCCAAUCUUUGUUUUUUUUUCAAUCCGCUGACACAGUACCUCCGUGACGCUGACAUGAUGCUAACAUAGCAUUUUUCGUCAAUUUUAACAUCUUUCUAAUGGCUAGAACCCCCUUAUGAGUAGGGCUACUAUGCCAUUAGGAGUACACCAGUCCUUGUGUUCCUAACUUCCUAACCAUUCAUCAAUUUUGAAGUAGAAGAGAAAUUAAGACACCCAAUUUCUCUUUAAUUUCUCUUCUCUCUCUUAUUGUUAGGAAGUUAGGAGCACAAGGCCUAUUAUGCUACUAAUAGCAUAGUAGCCCUGCUCUCUCAAAUUUCUCUUUAAUUUCUCUUCUCUCUCUCACCGUUAGGAAGUUAAGAGCACAAGGGCUGCUAUAUUACUAAUAGCACAGUACCCCUGCUCUCUCCAUUUUUUCUUUAUUUUCUCUUCUCUCUCUCACCUUUAGGAAGUUAGGAUCACAAGAGAUGUUAUGCUACUAAUAGCACAGUAGUCCUGCUCUCUCUCUCUCUCUCUCCCUCUCCCUAUAUAUAUAUAUAUAUAUAUAUAUAUAUAUAUAUAUAUAUAUAUAAUAUAAUUAUAACAGCUACAAGUACAAGUAUUCUUAUUAGUAUAUGACCCCUUAGUAUUUAUAAAUUUUGUACUAAGUGGCAAAAGGGAUAUGCGGUUAGGAAUGAUAGUGGUCCUCAAUUAGAAUGAUAGGGAUCCUCUAGAGUUGAGUUGGUGAUUGGUUGAAUAUUUGAUCUAAGGAGUGAAAUGGUCAAAGGGGUAGACUAACGACCAGGAAAUUUAUGAAGUACAAAUGGAGUCUAACUGCAAUUGUACAGUAGCCGAAUUAGUAUAUAUGAUCUAUAUAUAACUAUAAUAUAUAUAAUAUAUAUAUAGAGAAGAGAGAGAGAGAGAGAGAGGAGACGAGAUGAUGAGAGAGGAGAGCUGGGUAUGCUUCUGGAAGCAUGGAGCCUUCCGUGCUUCCAAGUCGUUUUCGAUGUUGGGGAUUUCGAAUCGACGAUCGGCUCCGCUAGAGUUGAUCUAGAGUAUUUGAAGUACCCAGAAAAUAAAUUUUGUGAUUUUUUGAUAUCAUUUGCCUAGUGAUCGAAAGGGCUCAAAAUCAAUAAUUUUAAUGGCCGUGGUGAGCCGUUUACAAGUUUAACGGUAUAGAAAUAUCCAAAUCACAUUAAAUUUUGAUAAAAAAUUCUUUAUACUAUAUAAAACAAGAUCAAUAACUUUGAUCUAAAAUUUUAAUAUCAUAUCAUCAUAUUUUUUAAGAUUUUUAUUUUCAACCGUUGAUUUUGAGUCUUUUCGAUCACUAGGCUAUCAAAAAAGAGCCGUUUGCAAGUUUAACGGUAUAGAAAUAUUCAAAUCAUAUUAAAUUUUGAUAGAAAAUUCUUUAUACUAUAAAAAACAAGAUCAAUAAAUAUAGUAGAGUUAGAAUACUUUUAGAAGCACCAACUCAUUGGUGCUUCUAAGUUUCUAGCUCUUGGAUCUACUCCCUAAUUACUAAUAUUUCUUGGAUCAAAUACUAUUCCACCUACCACCACCUACCCACCAUCAUCUGAACCCUACAUCUCUCCAUCCAAGGGCUAAAAAUUCAAAGGCACCAACCCAUUGGUGCUUUUGAGAGUAUUCUAGCUCUACUAUAUAUAUAUAUAUAUAUAUAUAUAUAUAUAUAUAUAUAUAUAUAUAUAUAUAUAUAUAUAUAUGAGUUUGGCUACUAUGCUAUUAAUAGCACUAAACGUUUGGUGUUAUCAAGUUUUCUACCAGUGGAUCUACCCUCUUUGAUCAUUUUCGACCGUCAGAUCAUACUAUUCAACCAACCACCUACUCAACUCUAGAGACCACUCUCAUCCUAACGUUACAUCACUUCGUCCACGGGUUGAAAACCUAAUCGCACCACUGACUUAGUGCUAUUAAUAGUAUUGUAACCUAGUUUUACAUAUAUUCUCUGCAAACAAAUCGGUAAAAUUAAGGGUAAACUUCAAAUACCAUCCCUAUGGUUCUCACUUUCUCACUUUAGUACCUUGUGGUUUAAAGUGUGUCAAUUUAGUACCCUGUGGUUUUAUUUUUCUCUUUUCGUCAGCUCUUUCGUUAACAUUUCGUUAAAUUAUAUACAAAAAACUUCAGAUACCCUAUCUAGAUUUAUCGAAUAUUCACUUUAAUAUCUUUUAGUUUUAACUUUGUCACUGAUUUAACAAACAAAAAAUAGUGGAAAGGAUAAUAAAAAAAAAAGAAUGAAACCACGGAAUACUAAAUUAAUACACUUUAAACCAUAGGGUACUAAGAUAAAAAAAUACGAAACCACGUGAGCGGUUUUUGAAGUUUUCUCUAAAAUUAUACUACCUUCUUGUGACAAUGCAAUGAUGACAGAUGCACUACUGAUUCUACUGAGUGUUUAAAAACACAGGUACGUACCGGAAAGCGAACCAAGAAAUGUGCAAUCUGUGAUCACAAAUACGGAAACUAACGCGUGCAGGAUUUUCAAAAUUCCAGAACAACAUAUCUGCGACGACAAUGUCCAGUCCUUCCACCCAAUAAUUCUAUCGAUCGGCCCAUAUCACCACGGAUCUUCACAUGUAGCCGGCAUGGAGUCAGUGAAGUUGGAUUGUCGACGAAGGAUCUUCGGUUAUGAUAGUGACAACUACCAUGUCAGCGGCGAAAUCAUGGAACUAGAAAACAGAGCAAGAGGAUUGUACAGCGAGAAUGUGACAAUGGAACGGGAGGACUUUGCUAAGAUGCUCUUGCUCGACGGAUGCUUCAUAGCUGUUGCUCUCGGAAAGAUGGAAGGCCGGGCUGUUGAAAACAUACCCAGCGAAGCUGAUCUUAGCCAGCACGAAGCAUUGAAUAGGCACGACAUAGUGCAUGACCUACUCCUGGUAGAGAAUCAAAUUCCUUUUUUCGUCCUCGAGGAAAUACGUAACCUAGCUGCACCUAUACCAGGAGAAACAACUGAACAAUUUAAAAAAAACAUCGCUAAAUAUGUGGAACGUGUGCUACGACACUACCCAAAAGCGAUCGAAAUCCCCGCGAUCUGUUCGAAUGAUUUUCACCAUCUGCUACACUUGUGCCAUAUGUUCUUUCGACCUAGUCAAAAUCCAGCGGGACACCACCGCAUUCAAACAAUGAUUCAAUGCUUUCCUUGCUCUGAUCGCUCACAUCACAUGACGAACCAGUGGCACCGAGCAAUGCAAUACCGUGAAGCAGGAGUCGAGUUCAGAGUAAAGGACUCAUCUUCGACUCCCCAUUCUCUAUUGGACGUGACGUUCAGCAAUGGGACAAUGGAAAUUCCACACCUGUCCAUUGACGCGAAGACAGAGUCGAUUUUUAGUAAUUUGAUCAUGUUCGAGGUAGGAUAUCCAAGCGCUGGGAACUAUAUAAAUGCAUACGUCACAUUCAUGUCGCAACUUCUCUGCGAUGCUGAUGAUGUUAAAUUACUUGCCCGUGAAAAAAUCGUUCAUAUAUUGGGUCCCCAGGAAGAGGUUGUAAAUAUUUUCAACAGGCUUAACGGGUUGGCUGUUUUCGAUCCCUGUGGGGAGAACUAUUAUUUAACAUCUACGUUUCAGUCGGUGGAAGCACACUACCGUUGCCGUUGUAAUUGGUGGAUGGCAUGGUUGAAGCACAAUCACCUAAAAAAUCCGUGCGUGAUCAUUGCAGCACUCUUAGGUUUUAUAUCUCUGCUCUGCAUUAUGAUUCAAAAUUUUCUUUCUAUUUUGAAGCAUUUCAAUGUGGUACAUCAUUAACCGUCGUCGAUAUUAUUUGUUUCUUCAUGCAAUCUAUUUGUUUACCCAGAUCAGUUUGUUUUGAGUUUGUCUGUUUUCUGCUUACGCUUAUUCAUGUUAUGCAUGUGAUGACUUGCAAGUGCUUGGCUUGUUUCCAGCAUCAUUUCAUAAAAAACCUAUGUUCUUGGAAUAUCAUAUUUGAUUUUUGUGGAGUUAUACUGCAUUAAUUAGUUUUUUAUCACGAACAAUAUUGUAAACUUUUCCCUGGUUCUUUAUGCUGCAGUUAUUGUACUAGAGGAGUAAAAAAAUGAAAUAGAGAGAGAGAUGGACUUGAUUAAUUAGAGGAGCUAGAGCUCACAACAUUCAUUUAUGAAGUUAUGAAUUGGCGACUUUCGGAGCCUCGGAGGCUUCUCCGCAAUCCGCGGGCUGCGGGGCCCACUGUCAAGCUUAUGUGUGGGGUCCCCUGACCAGAUAUUUUCGGGUCGCGUCUUUUUGACCCUCACCUCGCUGGUUUUUUACCCUCUUUUGCCCUUUAUGGACUCCGAAUUAUCCUCUCUCCUCUAUUUUUCUGCUGCAUGUGGGUACACGGCGUUUGGUGUGGUGCUGGACAGGUUGGUUUUGAUUUUUAUUAACCGUUUGGUUCGGGGAUAAGUAAGAACUAGCUAUUACAGGGAUAGGUACAAAUAUGGAGAUACAAAAAAUAGCGUUUGGAUGAAAAUUGGGUUGUUCCCGGAAAUAAGAAAAAUAUUAGAAAAUUUUAUAUAAAAAGUAGAGGUGUUGGUGGGGGUAACCAAGAACUACUAUUCUCGGAUAAAAAAUUAGCAUUUGGGUAUAAAGGGGGGGAUAAGGGUCUAUUCCUAUCCCUAUCCCUAUUCCCAAACAAAACGGUGUUUCUGAACUUUUGCAGGUUAAUAGAAUUUCAGGGUUUGCAUUUUUUGGGGGAGAUUUUUUUAACUAAAACCUUGUUGCAACAUAGGCACUCUAUUUGGUUUUGAAAUCUUGCUAUUUCUAUUUGGUAUUAAGAGUAGAGCUACUAUGCUAUCGGAAGCAUAGAGAAUCUGGUGCUUCUGAUUUUUUCGCCCUUAGAUCAACUUUUUUGAUUAUUUUUAACCUUUGAAUUAAUACUACUAUCCUGUGGGGACCACUCAAUUCUAGAGUACUACUCAACUCUGGGAAACUGCAAUCAUCCUAACUGUAUAAUUUUUGAUCCAAGGGCCAAAAAAUCGGAAGUAUCAGAUUUUCUAUGCUUCCGAUAGUAUGGUAGCUCUACACCGGUAUUAAUCUGUUUGCUUCGAAUUCCAUACUUAAUUCCGUCACAAACUGAAACUUUUUUCCCUAAUUCAUGAGAAAAGAAUAUAGCAUAACGGGUAUGUAGCAAGCUUCAGAAACCUAAGAAGGCAUGGCGACAUUGCUGACAUUUUAGUAAAUGUUGUAGCCUAUCGACUGCGGCAAGUGGUUGGUUGUUCUGGCCGCCGUUCGAUUUACUUGCGUGUGUUCUUUUUUUCUCAUUCGUUUUCUUGUGUAUGGAUUACUCUGUUUUAUUUUUUUCCCCUACCAUGUAGAUUCCCCCAAGCACAUUAAGGAGAAAAAAAAAAAAAAGGUCAGGAAAAAAAUUAAGAACAAUGCUAUUACUAUUCGCAACAAACUCGGCAUUCGAAUAAGGAGGAAAGAGUCCACUUUUCUUCUAUGCUUUUCAAGUUGCGUAUGAUGUUUUGAAAUCAAGGAACAGUAUAGCAAUGCAUGCUUUAUUCCUGUAUUUUGUUUAAUACUAUCCCUUUUAGUAUUUAUAAACUUUUGAAUUUAUGUCCUCUAGUUUUUUUGAGAGGGAAAACUUCAAAACAAAACCCAUGUGUUUUUAUUUUUUUUCAUUUUAGUACCCUGUGGUUUAAAAUGUAUCAAGUUUGUACCAUGUGGUUUCUCACUUUAUUACUUUAGUAUCCUAUGGUUUAAAAUGUAUCACUUUAGUACCCUAUGGUUUUACACUUUAUGAUUUUAGUACCAUAUGGUUUUAAUUUUGUAUCAAGUUAGUAACUUGUAGUUUUUAAACCACAGGGUACUAAAGUGAUAAAGUACGAAACUACAGGGUACUAAAGUGAUGAAGUGCAAAACCAUAGGGUAUUAACUUGAUACACUUUAAACCACAAGAUACUAAAGUGAUAAAGUGAGAAACCACAGGGUACUAACUUGACAUAUUUUAAACCAUAGGGUACUAAAGUGAAAAAAAGUGAAACCACAAAGGAGUUUUUUGAAGUUUUCCCUUUCUGAAACUUUUCUUCUUUUUGCGAGCUGUCGGGCCUGCUAUACUGUUGGGUACUUUCUACACUCAGGUCUUGAUUAUUUAGAACUAUUGCAAACGUGUUCAAUGCUUUCUUUUUGCUGUGAUGAUCUUGCUCUUAGACGCUGAGAUAUUUGAGAAAUGCUUCUAUACACCGGUCAAUUUAAAUUUGACCAUUCAAAUUUGUGAGGUUAAGAUUGACUUUUACACAAUGGUAACAUGCUCAACAGAUUACCAAUCAAUCAUAAAGAUAAUAUUUGAAAAUAUGCAUUAGCUAAUUACCAAAUUUGAUAAUAUCCAACAAAUCUUCAUUUCCUAAUUUAAUUUUGUUACUUACCAAAUUAGAUAAUGGCUAAUUACAUAAGUGAUAAAUCUUCAUAAAUUCGAAUUUAAAAUUUAACUUGAGUUUAAACUUUAUAUUUAUAAUUGUAUAAAUUAAAUUUAAAUUUUAGAAAGAAAAAUUUAUAUUUAAACGAGUAAACAUUUGAAUUCAAAUUGUUAAUUUAAUAUUAAACUAACAUGAAAGUGCAAAAAUGUUAAUAUCUUUAAAAUUGUAAUUUAAGUUAUAGUGUAUAUAUAAACUUUUAUUAUUUAUUUAAAUAUAAGAUUUCUACAUUUUAAAGUAAGUUGAAAUUGUUAAUUCAAUAUUGAAAAACAGCAUUAAAUUUCAAAAAUAUUGAUCAAAUUUAAAUUAUAAAUUUAGAUUAAAUUUAUAUUAUACUUAAAAAAUAAAUUUAGUUAACUAUUUAAACAUAAAGUUUCAAUGUUUGAAAAUUAAUUUUAAAUUAUAAAUUACUAAAUUUAUGACUCAAUGAGAUCAUAAAUUAUUAUUAAAACCGACCUUAAAAUGGAUAAUUUAAUUAAAAAUUUAUUCUCUCCAGGAUUCAAGAGCAGUAUAUAUGCAAAACUUUCCAAUAUUAGUUAUUUAACUUUCUAAUAUUAGCUCUUUCUUUUUCCAAAAAACUCCUAGAUUCACAUACCUGGUGACCGGUACUACUUGUGCAAUAGCAGAUCAUCUUUUUUUAUGCAUAAAUCUUAACCCUUCAUUGAUUAAAAAUAAACAGCUAAGAUCAGAAUGGAGUAUUGAAGCAUUGCUCUUUAAAAAAUUCAAGGACCGAGAUCUUUUUUGUGCAUAGGAGCAUUGCUCAUUAUUAUUUUUUUAUUAAAGGGGUAUGGGUGUAAUUUUUUCAAACUAUAAUUUGAUAGGAGACAUAUUUUAUACUCUGAUUUGAUUAAGAAAUCUAGUUUCUCCCAACAAACUAGAUUUCUGGUAUAUAUGAGCGAAAAUUUGGUAUUAGUGUAAAUUGCAAAAUUUUAACACAACAUGCAACUCCAAAUCUAAAACAUUUUUCUAGUUGGGCUGAUUGUAAGGAUUGAAAUGCCAUGGCACGGGAGUCGUGCCGGAAGCUUGCCGGUACGGUGCAUGCCGAAUUGUGCGGAUGCGUGCCGGUCACAAAAAAUAUAUAUAUAUUGACACGAAAUAGCAUGAAAUAUUUAUUAUUUUAACAAUAAAAUAUGUAAAUUAUUUAUUAUAUAUUUUUAUCAAAUUUUUUAAACUUUAUUGAGAUAAUUAUUCAUUAAUUUCAAGAAUACAGAGUUUUAAGUUGUGCCAUCGGCACGGGGGCUAUAUCGUGCCGAUAUAUUGCUGGCAUGCUAUGGCACGAUAAAUACACCCCUUGCCGAUAGACAUUUCACCGUUAAACUAGCAAAUAUCUCAUACCGGUCAUUAAAAAUUGUCAAUUUUGUGAGCUUUUGAUUGUAAGGUAAAUGAUAUUGAAAAAUUACGAAAUUUAUUUUCUAGAAGUUUCAAAUACUUUAGAUCAUUUUUAACGGUGUGGAUCGUCGAUUCGAAACGUCCAACAUUAAAAACAAUUUAUGAGUACGAAGGGUUCUAUGCUCAUAAGAGUAUAGUAGCCCUACUCUCUCUCUCUCUCUCUCUCUCUCUCUCUCUCUCUCUCUCUCUAUAUAUAUAUAUAGGCCAAUUUGCAUAAAAAAUUCACUUAUUUUGGGCUUUUGCAAAAUCGGGCCAUCUUUUUGGUUUUUGCAGAUUCGGUCCGCUUUUUUAGCAUACUGACCAAAAUACCCUUAUACCUUUUUCUCUUUCCUCUUUCUCUCUCCUCUUUUUUUUCUCUCGUUCUUUUUUCUUUUUCUUCCCAGAGAGCGGCGAAGACGGAGCGGAGGCGCCCUUAUACCUUUUUCUCUCCUCUUUUUUCUCUUAUUUUUUUUUUCUUUCUCUUUCCAGAGAGCGGCGAAGACAGAGCGGCGUCAUCGCCGACGCCCCCACCUUCCUCGCCUCCGAUCCUCCCAAGGCCGAACUGCGAUUUUCUUUUUUUUGCUUUUUUCUUUUUUUUUCUUCUCCGACUCUCCUCCAGUCUCUGACGACGGCGCCUCUCUCGCUCUUCCCUGCCCUUCUCGUCUCUCCUUCUCCCUCAUUCUUUGCUGCCUCCGACGACGAUGCAUCUUCGCCGACACCGACGCCGACACCGUGGAGAUCACUGCGGCGCUGCAGUCUCGGAGUGGGCGGGUCUUUAGCGGCGUCAUCACCGGCACCGUGGCUAUUAGCACAGAAGGUGACAAAAAAAUAUUAAAAAAGAAACAAAAAAAAAUAAAGAUAAAAAAUUAUAUAAAAAAAGGAUGAAGAUGAAAUUAUAUUGUUAACUGCAAAACAAAUUACAAGUUGCACUACUUAAGAUGUAAACUGCAGUUUUAAGAUGAAAAUUACACUCUUUAAACGAAAAUCACACUCUUUGGGAGAUAUUUACACUGUUUCUCUUCUUAUUGCACUCUUUCAGAUAUAAACUGCACCCACUAAGAUAAAAAUUACACUCUUUAAAUGAAAGUUGCACUGUUUCUCCUCUUGUUGCACCAUUUUUUCUCUUGGUACACUAUUUUUUACUUUAAACUGCACCCAUUUAAGAGAUAUUUAUACUUGUUCUUCUCUUGUUGCACUGUUUUUACUCUUGUUGUACUAUUUCUCCUCUUGUUACACUGUUUCUUCUUUUAAAGGGUGCAGUUUAAGAUAAAAACAGUGUAACAAGAGAAGAAAUAGUGUAACGAGAGAAGAAACAGUACAACAAGAGGAGAAACAGUAUAAAUAUCUCUUAAAGAGGUGCAGGUUAUGAUAAAAAAUGGUGUAACAAGAUGAAAAAUGGUGCAACAAGAGGAGAAACAGUGCAACUUUCGUUUAAAGAGCGUAACUUUUAUCUUAAUGGAUGUAGUUUAAAUCUGAAAGAGUGUAAUACGAAGAGAAAUAGUGUAAAUAUCUUCCAAAGAGUGUAAUUUUCGUUUAAAGAGUGUAAUUUUUAUCUUAAAGCUGCAGUUUACAUCUUAAGUGGUGUAACUCGUAAUUUUUCUUGCAGUUAACGAUGUAAUUUCAUCUUCAUCCUUCUUUUUAUAUAAUUUUUUAUCUUUAUUUUUUUUUUUUCUGUUUCUUCUAUAAUUUUCUUUUUGUCACCCUCUCUGCCAAUAGCCACGGCACCGGUGACGACGCCGCUAAAGACCCCCCGCUCCGAGGCUGCAGUGCCGCAGUGACAUCCACGGUGUCGGCGUCGGUGCCGGCAAAGAUGCAUCGUCGUCGGAGGCAGUAGAGAAGAAGGGAGAUAGAGAGACGAGAAGAGCGGGGAAGAGCGAGAGAGGCGUCGUCGUCGGAGACUGUGUAGGAGAGUCGGAGAAGAAAAAAAAAGAAAAAAACAAAAAACAAAAAAAGCCGCGGAACGACCUUGGCGGGGUCGGAGGCGAGGAAGGUGAGGGUGCGUGGGUGAGGGCAAGGGCAAGAGUCGGAGAAGAAAAGAAAAGAAAAAAGCAAGAAAAAAAAAAAAAAAAAAANCGCUCGUGUUCGGCUCGUUUACACCCCUACCUAUAAGCUCAUCCAAGCAAAGAGAAACACUUCCCAAUAUGUAUUGAUGCAAUAAAAUGGCAAAGGUUACGGCUCACUCACUGAGUGGUCUGCUAGUGAACUCAAAUGCGGUGAUUUGAAUUCAAAACCAUUCUUUUAAUAUAACUAGCGUCUGUGUUCUGUUAGCAUGUAUGAUCUCUAUUUUUUGUCUGUAUAUAUAUAUAUAUAUAUAUAUAUAUAUAUAUAUAUAUAUAUAUGGAAAGAAAGUGUUACAUUGAAACUCCGAUGUCGGCAACACAGUAAAACGCGUCCCAGGUUGCCGCCCGUUGCAAACACGUGGCAUUUCCUCAUCUAUUGGAAAAUUGUUUCCUGCACCCAGUGUAUAAAAGCAUUUUUGUACACCACAGUAUUAAUUAAAGAUUUUUAAAAAUAUUUUAAAAUUAAAAUCUAACUUAAGCACUAGAUGCAUAUAUAAAAUAUUUUAAAAUAUGAAACCCAUGGCCAACUAUAUUAGCCAGCUAUAUGAUUGAUAUCAUUAUUAUUGAUUAUUAACUUCACAAUAGUUAAUUUUUUUUUUUAAUAUCUUGUUAUUUUUUACUGAUAAGAAAUUUAAAUAAUAUAAAUCACAUAUAUUGAAUAAUAUUUUAAUUUCAAAAAGGGGUUAAACUUUAAAUACCAUCCCUAUGAUUUUGUACCUUUUCAUUUUUGUAUCGUGUGAUUUAAAAUGUAUCAAGUUAGUACCAUGUGGUUUAAUUUUUUUUUUUUCAUCAGCUCCUCCAUUAAUAUUUCGUUAAAUUAUAUACAAAAAAUUUCAGAUACCUUACCUAGAUUUAUCGAAUAUCAUUUGAAUACACUUUAGUUUUAAUUUUAUCACUGAUUUAAUGAAAAAAAUUAGUGAAAUGGAUGAUAAAAAAAGAAAAUUGAAAUCACAUAUUACUAAAUUAAUACACUUUAAAUCACAAGGUUGUAAAGUGAGAAAAUGCGAAAUCACACGGGUAGUAUUUGAAGUUUUUCCUUAAAAAAAAUACAUCAAUUAAUGUAAUACGAAAUGGAUACACCAGGUGCAUGGGGGACCAACCUGCCCCACGCAAUUCCCGCUCUUUUCUCCCCGUUUGGAUUUGUUGCUGUAGGGUGACCUGGAUUGCGACACCGACAUCCAAUAGGGAGGGGGGACAUGACACGUGGAGGAAAACGAUUGGCUGUGACGAAAAGAAAGAGACAUCUCGCCAACGGCUAAUAACCACAUAUUUUUUACACUUGAAACUUGGUCAAAUUAAUUAGUCAAAAUCGAUGGAACAAUUAAGAUUUUUUUUUUUUUCCUUUAGGAUAUUUUUGGUUCAUCUAUUUUAAUCUAUGAAUUUAGGAUAUUUUUGGUUCAUCUAUUUUAAACUAUGAAAUCAGAAUAAAAUUUAUUAAUUUUCAUAGUUAUUGUUUGAUUUAUAGAAAUCGGAUUUCGGUUCCUAUUCUACUCCGGAAUGGAAAUAUGACCGAAUUCAUUUAUGGCUCAAUUCAAUCUUGAAUCCCAAAUUGGUCCAAUCCAAAGAAAACUAUUCAAAAUUUUAUUUCUCCAACAUUUACCUCCUCUUUUUUAAUCAUUUUUCUUUCUCUUAAUCAAAUCCUCUUUCAAAAAUUUGAAAUUUCCAUUUCGAUUUCUAUUUCAAUAAUGAACCAAAUAUUUUUUGAUGAUUUGUCAUUUUAUUUUCCAUUACAAAAUAAUCCAAUUUUAUUUUUCAUUCUUAUUCCAAUUAUGAACCAAACAUGUCACUACAACAAAAACGGUCUAUAGCGACACUUUUAAAUAUCGGUAUAGAUCAAAAAAAGUGCUGUUGGCUAAUUAAAUUACCUAUACUUUUAAGAAGUGUUGCUAUAUGUGGGGUCGCUAGGUAUAUAGUGACAGUUAAAGAGUAUCGCUAUAAUCUAAAUGAGUGCUGCUAAUUUACCAAUAUUUAUUUAAGCAUCUAGCAACCGCCGGAACCCUACCUCGUUGGCUGCGGUGGCGGAUGAAGAUGAGAGGAAAGGAUUUUCGUUUAGGAUUUUAGUCGAUUGAAUAAGGGAAGAAGGGAAAAUGGUAAUCGAUUUUUCUUUUUUUUUUCUUUUUUUUUUUCUUUUCUGUUUGUAAUCGGGUCGAAUGGGCUGGGUGGAGUGGGUUGAGUAGAGUACCAUUUUAUUUUUAGUUGGAUUGGACUUUAUAUUUAGUAUUAGUAGAUUUUUUUUUAAAAUUUUGACAUAAAUGUGACACUUAUACAAAAAUGUCCCAAACAUGUGUCACUAUAACCUAAUUCUGUUGUAGUGUGUAUGCCUUUAAUGUAAUUACUUUUUCCAGCGAACAUCUGGUUAAAUACACAAAAACACAUGCAUGUGUGUUGGAUUGUAAGUAUAGUGGAUGAUAAAUAAAGUGAUAAAUUUUAAUUUUUAAAAGUAUAGAAAAUAAAUUACAAUUUCAAUAGAGUUUAGAUGAUUUUCGUUUUUUUUCAAGCCUAAAUUGGGCUUAUAAAGGUUCUCCGGUUCGCACAAAUUAAAAUCUAUUCUCAGGCAUGCUCCGUUCUUGGGGUUUAGGGUUUAAGUUACUAUAGUUUGAUAGUUUUCUGUAGAUUUUUUUUUUAUUUUUUAUUUUAAGGCAUUAAAAAGAAAAUUUCAGGAAUGAGGUCAAUAUUUUGCGUUUUUACGCCCUCAUAUGUUGAGCCCAUUAAGGGCCCAUUUGAUUUUUACUUCAAGAGCAUUUCACAAAAAUAAUAAAAAUCUAGAGCUUUUGUUGUAAUGAAAGGGGAAAAAACUUUUUCGAGGCCUUAGAGUGGAAUUACCAAUUUGAUUAUUUUGAUCUACUAUAGGAAAAAGCUAAAAAGGAUAUUAAUAAGCAGUGAAAAGUAUACUAAUAUUAAUUGUGCAUUAAUUGUAAUACUAAAGAGAAACAAGUGCCAACGUCAUGACUCUUUUCAUAUCCUCCCACGUGAGGAUUGUUGGUUACUUAUUAUUAGCUAAAAUAUAUAAGUCCAAUUUUCUGUUCUGAGAUAAUCCGUUCAGAAUAUUAAUAAGUUGAGUUGGAUAAGUUCAAUAAGUUGAGUAGGGUUGCGAUCCACAAUAAACCUAAUGGUAAGAGAUCCAAUAAUAAACCUAAUGUCGAGAUAGGUCGAGUUAGGUCGAAAUUCCUUGAGCGCUAAAAUUAAGCCUUUAAGUGCGACAGAUACGUCCUUUCUACCGGUACGGGUUUUUGAGAUAGUUUAUUAGUGCUUACAAUCCACAAGGAUAUAAAGCCAGAUUAUAGUUUUGUUGCUCUAUGUCCAUCAAAUAUGUGCUACAUGAAGUUUUGGCUUUGCAAUCCUAAAUUUUUUGGUUUUUAGUAGGCUACAGGUAUCAAUGAAAAUAUGUCCCUAGACUAAACCCAGCCAGUCAAAAUAUAGUCUGUAGUCUAUGUCACCAUGAAACUCCUUGACAAAAUCUAUAUAUAGAGGUAAAUUAAGAUGGGAAAUUUAUUAAAUAUAAUUAAAUCCUAAAUAUUUAAAAGAGAUUACUGAAACAAAUUUAUAAAAAUAAUAAGACUAAAAUACAGAAUAUUCAUCUAUAAAUAAUCGCUUUCUCACUUUAUAUAAAAUUUGAAGUGGUAGCAAUUAACUCAGCAUUGUUAUAAUUUCGUUAUUAUUCUGUGCAUAAAUUAAGUGGUUGUUGGCGCCGUACAAAACAGCGCCAUGUGGAAAAAAAGUUCGAACCGCGUGAGCAAAACGAUGAGAGCGAGGUCAGAGUAAAAGGGGGAAAGUGCCAAGGGAUAAGAGUGAGUACCUCUCAUUCCUCACUUGACUCUACUAGGACCUGUAGUGACACGUGGUGCGCGCACUUAGAGCCGAGAGGAGUACGCCUAAAAUGGAAGAACAGUUUAGAUGGGAGACCCACCGUCCCUAGAGCAAGUGGCAAAAGACUUGGUGGUUGGUACAUGCCCGAGACCCGAGUUCGAAUCCUAGUUGAUUCACACUUCCAGCUAUAUAAGUUUAUUUCUUAAUGAAAUAAACGAAGCGGGUAGCGCGCUAUCUAUCUCUCAAAAAAAAAAAAAAAAACAGUUUAGGUGGGAGUGACUAAAGACAUGGAAAAAAGAUUUCGUGGCCAGCAAGAGAUCAACCGAAACAUAACUCGAGGAAAUGGGGACGUGGCCGAAGGACCUCUACAAUAAGAUAUUAAACCAAUAACGGCAGGGGGGAGAAGAUAUUGCUAUAAAUAAAAAUAAUCGUGCUGUGAAAAGGGUCCUUCACACAAAUAAAAGACCAUAACAAAUUUUAAUUCCUUUUUUUUUACAUUUGCAGUUUUUUUAGAGAUAGUUCAGGGAUUGUCUUGUUUGUUCUCUUUUUCAGAGCUUAGUUAAGAGUGUGAUUAAAUAGUUCUAUAGGAGUAGAUUCUAUUUCUAUAACAACAUUUAUAAUUCCGCUUUCUUGAUAAAUAUAAACAGUUCGGCUCAUUUGGCCGAGCUUGCUUUUGAGUAAAUUGUGAAUAGUGGCGGAAGAACCCGGUUAAGCCGAUCCCUCCUCAAUUGAGUUGCUUGGUUCACUAAUGAUGCAUUCGAGGUCAUCCUAGGAGCCAACUCGUAUCCCAAAGAACAACCCGACUUCGUCAAUGCCUUGAUUUGGCCAGCGUUGUCUCGUAUUCGGUUUCUAGCCCAGCAAUGGUACAACUAAGAAAUUACUAAUAAUCUUAUUAAAUUUUAACAAAUGAUGAAAAGAAUUAGUAAAUAGGCGGGGAUCAAUCUCUCAUUAAUUUGGUGGGACAAAAUAUAGAAUUUUUAAAGAGAGGCAUGUGAAAUGGAUAAGCCGAUAUAUAUAGGGCGAUUUUCUAUUUUAUAGUCAAAUAAUAAUUUUUUAAAAUUUAAAAAAUAAGAUUUGAAAUUCUAAUUUAUUUUCUGUUGCAUCAGUUAUGGCGAAGCUAGAUAGCCCGAGGGUUGCAAUUAGCGAAGCUUUAAUUUGUUGGACCAUGAAGAGUGGACAACAUGGAUGAUAUAUAUGCGACGUGAUGUGAUUAAAUACCAGCUUUAGAAUUAGUGCAUUGUCAUAUGUUGAAUAUAUAAAUAUUAUUGUGGAGGAAUUAAUUUUAGGAUAUAAUGAAGAGGGGCAAUAGUUGUUGUAAAGGUGUAGUAAUAUUCAUGAGAGGGAAUGUCUCCUUAUUUCUAGAGUUGAUGAGUGUUGGGAAGUUAAAUAGUUAAUUUGAGNGUUGCCUCCUUUUCAAGAUAAUAAUUGGUUCCAACAAGCUCCUGGGGUUUAAUGAGCUCUAUUGUUAGUUGCUUUACUUCUUUAUCAAAAAUUUGGUUCAUGAGGAGUUUUUUUUUUUUUUUUUUAAACAAAUGUACGUUAGGGUGUUAGUCAGGAGGAAGUCUACUGCGUAACAUUUACACGACAUCGUCAAUAACCAGCCAAUCAUAUUCUCUUUUUGCAAAUAAAGUAUAAUAAAAAUAUUUUUUUAAUAACUAUCAUAGUAUGGGUGAAUCCAAAAAAAAUAAUCUAAUUGAUUGGAAACGCCACAUUAGCAGUAUAAUUGGUGCAUUCUGGACUUUUUCUUUAACUAGCUAGAGUGUCAGCUGGCAUAGUUGCUGGGAUAAAUAAAGUACGUAAAUGCUACUUAUACACCCCUGUAUAGGGAUAUACAUCUUACACCCUUUAAUCUUAGGACUCACAAAUUUUUAAUGGGUUUUAGUAGAAGAAAAAAAAUUGAUAAGACAAGUGAAUAAAUAUAAACCACGAAAUAUCUAGGGUGCAAAUUUUACACCUAGAUCAUAGGUGUACAUAUAGCAUUUGCUAAAACAUUAAAGGGUGUAGAGAACUCCCUAGAUAGGAGGAGUUGGGAUUUGCUUGUUUGGACAAAACAAGAGUUUGUAGUAUUGAAUGGGAAGGAGUUCUCAUGAAACAUGAAUAAUCUAACAAAUGGCAGUGUAUUAGAAAUGUGUUGAUUGUACAAAUAUUAAAUACAUCUUCCUUGUUAGCUUAAGUUUUUCGAAAUAAAUAUUGCUUUCAUAUAAUCUAAAAUACACAGAUGUAGUUGAUAGCUUGGUGCUAACUUAUGAGCAAAAUUUGAUGAUAGAUUUGGAUCCCAAAGGUACCCCAAAACACAGAUAUGGUCAGAAUUAAGUACUAUAUGUCAUGUAAAUUAAAACUCAAGUACUAUGUCAUAUAAAAAUUUACAAGGAUAUGGGACUAGUAAUUAAGUAAAAGAGCUGGCUUUUUUUUGUGAAAUAAAAGAGGCAAUGUUCCAACCAUGAUCACUGAGAAAAGUAAUGAAGUGCGAGCUUGUGAACUCAUUACACCAUUAGAUGGAAAAUAUCACAAUCUAGUAAAAUGUUAAAAAUUUGGAGAAAGUUUCAGGUUUUGCAUAGAGAGAAAAUAUCCAAAUAGAAUGAGCAUUGUGAGACCCCAAAUAGUCCUAUAUAUAAGAUGUAAUAGGGCUAAAACUCUUAAUCCGGCUUAAGUAUUUUAGGUGGUGGCAAGGACCAAGAGAUUAAGAGAGUUAAGCGUGCUCGGACGGGAGUAGUCCUAGGAUGAGUGACCACCUAGAAAGUUGGGGCGUCACAGUUGGUAUCAGAGCUAAUUACCAGCCGGAAAUGUGAGAUGAGUCUCGGCUGAGUCGGGGUCGGAAUGACAAGGCUAGCGAGACGAGUCUCACAUCGCCUGAUACUUAUGAAUUUGAGCCUGACAAGGAUGUUAGGGCUUAAAGAGGGAGAGAUUGUGAGAUCCCAGAUAGUCCUAUAUAUAAGGUAUAAUAGGGUUAAACUCUUAACCCGACUUAAACAUUUUGAGUGGUGGCAAGGUCCAAGAGGUUAAGAAAGUUAAGCGUGCUAGAACAGGAGUGGUCCUAGAAUGGAUGACCUCCUGGAAACUUGGAGCGUCACAAGCAUGCUCAUUGAGGAAAAGAAUAUAGUAAUUAUUUAACGAAGGCGCGAUUUAUUAUGUAUGAGUUCACAAAGUACAGGAACCGACAGACUCAACGUGCAUGCUUUCCAAAGCCAAGGAGCAGGUGCAGUACAUGUGAUACAUUAAUUUAUAUUUAUUUCUAUAUAUAACAAGGACAUGAUCGACUUGAGAAUUAACGUGCGCCAAACAUUGUUACCAUGCAUAUAGUCGCGAUAUGCCGAGUUGCAUCAAACGAAGAAUGAGGAUCUUCGUUACAGAAUGGACAUAUGUAGGCCUUGAUUACUGCACCUAAAAGGGUUUGCUUCCAUCCUUCCAUGAUCCUUCACACAAAAAUUGGAUUGUGAAAAUAUGAAGACAAAAUCCUGAUCAACAACAAAAUUAUUCCUAACUUGGAGAAGAUUCUUUCAAAGAGUUGGAACUAAAACAAAAUUAUCUAUAGCAAAUGCAGUGGAAGGUGUGUAAAGUAGAAGAUCCAAGCAGUAAUAGGUAAAAAAACAAGAACCAUUGCCAUCGCAAAUUUUAUCGCUAGCAUAAUACAGAAAGGAAAGGAGAGGAGAAGAAGCAAGAGAUGCAUAACUGUUGCUCGAAGAAGUGUGGCUCACUAUAAGAAAAUCAUAAAAUCAUAAAAUAAAAAAGCUUUUUAGAUGGCGUUUGGGGGAAGCGUCCCUAAGCGUUUCUACAAUAAAGCAAAUACCUAUGUUUCAAAAAGCGUCAUCAUAUGAACCAUCUAUUGUAUCAAAAUAAUUUAUUAAAUGAUAAAUUUUAUUAUUAUUUUUAAUUUUUUGACGUUUUAAAGAGUCGUGAUUCAAAAAUUCUGACGCUUUAAAACGUCAAGAUAUAUUUUAUCGACGGUUGACAUAAGUGUCAAUAUAUACAUGGUUAUUUGUCAAUGCUUUCAAAUGUGAUGCUAGAUUAUAUAUAUAGAAACGCAUAUAGAAAUGUUUUUAAUUAUCGUUAAAUAUAUAUAAAAAAAAAAUAGCAUCCUUAAAUUUUAAUUUUCUUGCAGUGACUGCUGCUUGAAGGACGAGAAGAGCCACAAAAUCAAGUUUUUGUCCUUGGCUCGAAGGACAAGAACCACAAAAUCAAAGUUUUUUUUUUUUUUUAUUGUGAUUAAUAUAAGUAGAGGAAUAUUAUACUAGGAUUAGCGACAAGAGCAGCAUUAGAUGCUAAAUGAUUAGGAGAAUGACGCGAAGCAAGAGGUUCUUCACAAUCUAAUACAAGGGAUCAAGAACGCUCAAAAGAAUAAGAAAGGUGGUUAAGCAAUUAUUUGACCAAGCUAUCAAACUGAAUCCGAAAUCCAUCAAAAUCUUCAUGACAAAUCAUGGUCAGACAUGGCAAUCCACAUUGGACCCGGUUGAUCACUUAGUCCUUUUAUUUUAUUUUAUUUUUUGGGAUUUAAAAUUUGAGCUUAAUGAUUGCUUUACAUUGGUAAGGGCCCAGACCAGAUCUUGCCUAGAUCUGGUCUAACCUCGGUAAGGGCCAACGACUUACCUGAGAUGGAGCCGUUGUUGGAGUUGUUGGACCCUACCGUUCGCCUCUUACCUAUAUACAGAGGGGAGAGUGCACUUGAGAAAAGAUACAGGACUUAGCCUGAGCUUCACCUCUUGAUCAUCUUCUUCCUCAGCUCCUUGUGCUCUGAACUUCAUCUCCUUUCACACUGAGUUUCACCUAUUUCUAUAUUGUGCUUUCCAUAUUUUGCCAGAUCUUUUAAAGCCUAGUGGGUUCGUGGUGCACCAUUUUUAAGACGUGCCGACAGGGUGGACAGUGGUUGUUGUAUCGCUAUGAGCGAUUACCGGAGCCUUGCACGUAGAGGGGCAAUUUCGUUUUUAGGACAGUGCUUUAGCAUGUCUCGACUCACAGAUUUCAUCCAUUCUCUUCUUCCUAAUAUUUAUUUAUUGAUUCUUACAUGCUGUUAAAAUACUUGUUUAAGUUUUGUGUUUCAAAAUAUUUUCAAAAGAAUAUAAUUUUUGCUAAAAGAUUAGAAAGAUUUUUCCAACAGUAAAGGCCAGGCAACCGCCUGAUCAACGAAAAGCUGAAUAAUUAAUGGAACUAGUGAAGGCCCGCGCUUCGCCGCGGGAAAUUUACGCAAUUUCUAAAAUUUUUUAAAUAGAUUAUUCAACAUUGUUUGCUAAAAUUGGUUAUAAAAAUUAAGUAAAAUCAAAAUAAACAAUUAAAUAUUUAAAAUUUAAAAUUUUUUAUUAUCCAAAAUUUAAAUGUAAAUUUAGAAUAUAAAAUGUUCAAGCUUAAAAUUUAAAUUUUAACAUAUGAAAUUGAAAUCUCAAUAUUUGGAAUUAAAUAUUUGAAUUUUUUAAAUUCAAUCUAUAAUUUAAUAUAUAUUUAAAAUAUUGAAACUUGAAAUUUGAAAUUUAAAAUUUAAAAAUCUUAUAUUUUAUCUUAAUUACUAAAACUAAAUUUUAAAAGUUUACAAUUUUAUAUUUUAAAUUUCAGUUUUUGAAUUUUUAAUAUUAGAUUUUGUAUGAAAUUUUGCUGAAUUCUAAAUGUUUUUAUGUAAUUCUAACCUUUCAUAAUUCUGAAUUCGGAAAUAUCGUUGAUGUAAUUUCGAAUUCUGAAUUCUAUCCUUUUAUACGCAUCAAAUAUCCUGAUGUAGUUCAGAUCCGAAUUCUAAAUUUUAAACGUUACAUGCAUCGAAUAACUCAGCAAGCAGGAAUUCAGCUAGGGAAUUCAAAAUUCCAUGAAGAAUAUAGAGAAAAUAACUAUACUUUGUUCAAACUGUCCUAGCCGGUUUAUUUCUUAUUUUCGAGUUUCGGCCAAACCUAAGGAUAACUGAGUUGUAGAGAGUAAGGAGUUAGGUAGGAUGGUCAUUGAUAAGCUACACCGCUACUAUAGUUCUGAACUUACUGGAAAGAUGUUUGUGUAUGAUGCGGGAAAAAACCUAUUCACAUUAGGAUCUCUCCCACAAAAUAAUUUCGAGAAUUUUAGAAUUAAUAUUCAGAAUUUAGAACUUAGAAUCUACAAUUCAUAAUGCAAAUUCAUACAAAAUGUUGCUUAUGGCAGAAACUAUAUUUUUUUAUUUGAGACACAUAGAAAAAGCAAAUAAUUAAACAAACAAAUAUAUAUAAUUUUCAAAAUUUUAAAACUUAUAAUUUUAGUAUAAAAUUUAAAAUCUACAAUUUAGAAACUAAAAUUUAAAAUUUAAAACAUAAAAAAUUUAAAAUUUAGUUUUUGUAAUUAAGGAAAAAUAUACAAUUUUAAAUUGUAAGUUUCAUUUUAAAUUUAAACAUUCAAUAUUUUAAAUAUUAAACUACAAAUUGAAUUUAAAAAAAACAAAUACUAAACUUUAAAUAUUGGAAUUUUACUUUUAAAUGUAAAAAUUAAAAUUUUAAGUUUUGACAUUUUAUAGUAGGCGCAAUUUUGCAAAAGGUAAAUCCAAAUCAUCAUACAUCUGCAACGUAACAAAACUAAAAAUCCGUAAAAAACUAAUAGUAAGAACUAAAUAUCAAUAGUUGCAUAACAACAAUAUGAUAUAUAUACCGGAAGUACCUGAUUCAGUGGUUUCUUGUAAUAUGGAACCAGCGAACCAACCUACAUAAAGAAGCCCUAAUUUGCAUCAUAAAAUUGGAGUAAGAUAAUAAUAAGAAUUGCUUCAGAUAGUUGUACAUUAUUUGGAUGAGUCAAAGAUAUCUACUUACAGACUCACCACUUGCAUUCAUAAAAGUUUGACGUUUGGCAAGCAUGACAGGAGAAUCGCGAAUACGGCCUGCAUAUAAAACAACUAAAAUAUAUUAAAAUAUAUCUAAAUCAAAGUAUAUAUAUUCUGUAUUACGUUACUAACAAGGUUUGCAAUUCCCAGCAUAAAAUGAGCAAAUAAUUAAACAAACAAAGAAAAAAUUGCAUAUUUAUUUGCGGAUAUUAGCCUACACCUAAGUUAAGCAGAUUAAUUGGUUAUCAUAAGUUAGAAUUAAAAGAUGGCUUAGGUGGCAAAUGAUUAAUAUACUACAAAAGUUCGCAACACAUUCCUACAAAUAAAAGAAUCAGUCAUUUGGUACAUCCAAAGAAUAAUGUUGAUUCACAUGUACAGAUUCAUCUUCUCUCCUAAAUUAAAUAGGAAAAAGAAGAAUUAUAAAUGCGUAUAUAAUGAUACAAAUUUCUGUAUACGAAAAAUACUAUCUGUACAUCUACAUAUAAGUGUAAACCUUAUAUUACCUUCACAUCAAAAAUUACAUUUAUAUCUAAUAACAAUAGUCUAAAUUAUUUCAUAUUUAUUUAUAUAUUUUAUAUUUUAUAUAAAAAUAAAUAGCAAAUUAUGUAAUAAAUUAUUAUAUAAUAAUAUAUUAUUAUCUAUAUAAAAGCAAAGUAUAUAUAUAUAUAUAGUAGAGAGGAGAGAGAGAGAGAAUUAAUAAAUAUAAUAUGUUGAUAAAUAAAUUUAUAUAGAUUUAUAUAUAUAUAUAUAUAUUAUAUAGUUAUAAUAUAUAAUAUAUUAUUAUCUAUAUAAAAGCAAAGUAUAUAUAUAUAUAUAUAGAGAGAGAGAGAGAGAGAGAAGAGAGAGAGAGAGGAAUUAUAAAUAUAUAUUUUAAAAUAAAUUUAUAAUAUAUAUAAUAUAUACAUAAAAUUAUAUAUAUAUAUAUAUAUAUAUAUAUAUAAUAUAUAUAUAUAUAUAUUAUAUAAUAUAUAUAUUAUAUAUAUAAUAUAAUAUAUAUAUAUAUAGAUUAUAAUAUAUAUAUAAGAAUUAAUAUAUAAUAUAUUAUCCUUAUAUAAAAAAGUAUAUAUAGUAUUAUAUAUAUAUAGACGAGAGAGAGGAGAGAGAGAGACGAGAGAGAGAGAAUUAUAAAUAUACUAUGUUAUAAAUAAAUUUUUAUAAUAUAGAUAGUAAUAAUAAGAAAUUAUAUAUAUUAUUAGAAUUAUAAAAUGAUUAUAUAUUAAAUUAUUUUUUAUACUUCUCUACUCAUCAUCUCUCUUUCAUCUAUAAUAUAUAUAAUGUUUUAAUAAUAAAUUAUAUAAUAUAAAACUAAAAUAUUAAUAUAUAUAUAUAUAGAAAUAAUUAUAUAAGAAUUAUAUAUAUAUAUAUACGAAGAGAGAGAGAGAAUAUAAAAUAUACUAUAAUAAUAUAGUAUUUAUAAAUAAAUAAGAAAUAAUAUAGGAGAGAGGAGAGAAUUAUAUUUUAUAUAUACAAUAUAUAUAUAUGAAUUAAUUAUAUGAUAUAUAUAUAUAUAAUAAAUUAUAUAUAGAAAUUGAUAUAUAUAUAUAAUAUAAAUAUAAGAGGAGACGAGAGAAGAGAGACGAGAGAGAUUAUGACAAAAAAUAUACUAUAAGAUAAUAUUUAUAAAUAAAUAAAAAAAAUAUAAGAGAGAGAGAUUAUAUUAUAUAUAACAUAUAUACACAAUAUAUUUAUAUAUAGUAUAUAUAUAUNNNNNNNNNNNNNNNNNNNNNNNNNNNNNNNNNNNNNNNNNNNNNNNNNNNNNNNNNNNNNNNNNNNNNNNNNNNNNNNNNNNNNNNNNNNNNNNNNNNNNNNNNNNNNNNNNNNNNNNNNNNNNNNNNNNNNNNNNNNNNNNNNNNNNNNNNNNNNNNNNNNNNNNNNNNNNNNNNNNNNNNNNNNNNNNNNNNNNNNNNNNNNNNNNNNNNNNNNNNNNNNNNNNNNNNNNNNNNNNNNNNNNNNNNNNNNNNNNNNNNNNNNNNNNNNNNNNNNNNNNNNNNNNNNNNNNNNNNNNNNNNNNNNNNNNNNNNNNNNNNNNNNNNNNNNNNNNNNNNNNNNNNNNNNNNNNNNNNNNNNNNNNNNNNNNNNNNNNNNNNNNNNNNNNNNNNNNNNNNNNNNNNNNNNNNNNNNNNNNNNNNNNNNNNNNNNNNNNNNNNNNNNNNNNNNNNNNNNNNNNNNNNNNNNNNNNNNNNNNNNNNNNNNNNNNNNNNNNNNNNNNNNNNNNNNNNNNNNNNNNNNNNNNNNNNNNNNNNNNNNNNNNNNNNNNNNNNNNNNNNNNNNNNNNNNNNNNNNNNNNNNNNNNNNNNNNNNNNNNNNNNNNNNNNNNNNNNNNNNNNNNNNNNNNNNNNNNNNNNNNNNNNNNNNNNNNNNNNNNNNNNNNNNNNNNNNNNNNNNNNNNNNNNNNNNNNNNNNNNNNNNNNNNNNNNNNNNNNNNNNNNNNNNNNNNNNNNNNNNNNNNNNNNNNNNNNNNNNNNNNNNNNNNNNNNNNNNNNNNNNNNNNNNNNNNNNNNNNNNNNNNNNNNNNNNNNNNNNNNNNNNNNNNNNNNNNNNNNNNNNNNNNNNNNNNNNNNNNNNNNNNNNNNNNNNNNNNNNNNNNNNNNNNNNNNNNNNNNNNAAAAAAAAAUCCCCGAAGCCCCCGCGAAACGCGGGGAAGACGCCGUACAAACUCAGCUUUUACUAUAUGUAUUGAUUGAUCCCAUAUUUGUCUAGCAUUAGCUUAAAUAUAAGAUUGGUCAUAUAGAUGUUGGAUAAGUUCAGAAGAAGUAACUGAGUUGAUGGAUGCAUGAAGUAAAAACGACAUCAAGUUGAUUGCACAGAGAAAAUGCAGGAUCAAGAAUAGAAGUAUUUUAACAUCAUUAGAAAUAGAUUUAGGAGGACACAUAUCCAAACUAAUGACAUGGCCUUAGGGGUGGAAACGAGCCGAGCACAAGCAAGCUUGUCUUAGCUCAAAUUCGGCUUGAAAUUAAUUUCGAGCCUAAAUUUAGGCUCAAGUUUGGAUUGAAAUUAAUUCGAGCCGAGCUUGAGCGAGCCUAAUUUCGAGUCGAGCGAGCUGAAGCCCUAAACGAGCCGCUUGAAAUUCUCAAUAUCAUAGGGCCAAUUGUUUAAUUUGUAUAAAAUAUUAUCUACAAUUUGAAACAAAAACAUAUCUAAUAGUUCAAGAUAUAAAAUAAUUAUAUGAAAUACAGUAUUAUAAUAUGAAGAAAAAAAGUUUAUGAGUUGAAUAUCUAAUCUUUUCAGCUUCGCAUGUCGAUCUUCUCUUCCACCUUCAAUCUCCACAUUAUUUUUUUUCAUUUAUGCGGUCAAAAAAUGAAUAAAUUAUAUUGGCAAAUAUUGGAUUAAACUAUCCAAUCAUAUAUAACUAAAAAUCAAAAUUUUGUAUAAACAAUAAGUUUUUACUUUAAAAAUAUUCUGUAUAUUUUUUCAAACACACAAUUAAUGACAAGGUAGGCAACGGCGGACGCGUGUUGUUAUUUGGCAACUUGGGAGGAUUCAGACUUGGCCGCUUAGGGUGAAAGACAGAGAAAAAGAGAGAGAGAGAGAAAGAGAUUAGGGAUUUAAAGCUCUGUGAAAGAAAAAGAGGGAGAGAGUGUAAAUUUAGUGAAAUUUUGCCCUUUUGUUUGUCUAUUGGGCUUGUUUUUAUGGGCCAGCAAUAUUGGCCUAAUUUUAAUUAAAUUCAGAUUACUCACUCAGCCUAUAUAUAAUUAAAAUAUAUUAUAUUUAUAUAUUUUUUAAUAUAUAUAUAUAUAUAUAUAUAUAUAUAUUCGAGCUUUUCGAGUCUAAUUCGAGCGAGCCAAGUAAUACUCAAGCUCGGUUUGAAAUGAAUUUUGAGCCUUUUCUUUUGGUCAAGCUCGGCUUACUUAAUUUCAAGUCGAGCUCGAGCGAGUCGAAUAUCGAGCCAACGUGAGCCGACUCGCUCACUUGCCAGCCCUACAUGGCUUUCAAGACCAUAUAUAUGCUAGCUCAAGGAACAUAUGUAAAGACACUUCCAAAAUAACAUAUAAUCUUGAGAAUAAGAAGUUGUUAGUAAAAAUUUCAAAAUUCUCUAAUUAUUAUUUUCUUUAAUAUAUUUUAGUACUAUUAUUUAAUUUAUUAUUAAUUUAAUUAACCUAAGAUUUUAUUGUGAACGUUUCGGCUUGUGUCUCAUGCACACCGGCUCUUCGCGCUCCACUACUCUGUACACGUUAUAAUUACAUCAUAGUAUAUAGGGCUCGUUUGGUUCGAGUUAUGUAAUAUUACAAAGUAUCUCGACAUAUCCAGGUAUCUUGGAUUUCGGCGUGAGAUUACUACUGAUACUGCAUUAGAGCAUUUGGUUUAAUACAGUAAUAUAAUACUAGAUUACAGUGUUUAUAGCAUUAAUAUAUUUGGUUCAGUUUAUAAAAUUUAGUAAUCCUGACAUAAAAGUAUAGUUUUUUUCAAAAUUCUCCUUGUUGUGGUCAUUUGAAUAUUAUUUUUUGCAGAAAUGACGAAUGGAGGGAAGGAGAUCGUGAUGAUUACUUGAAAGGACAAUGCAAUAGAAGAUGAUAGGUGUUCGUGCGAGAGAAAGAGAGAGAGAGAGAGAGAGAGCGAGAGAAAGCGGCGUGCGAGAGAGAGGGCUGGGGGGAAGGAGAGAGAGAGAUGAAAAUAAUGCUGUUAAUUAGAUUUGGGGUUGUUUGAGGGUAAAAUUGUCAUUUUAUAUAAUAUGUAGUAUUAAAGGGUUUCAGUAAUGCAAGAUACACGGCCCCCCUCCCGUUAAUAUUUUCGAUGUAAUCCUGCUCGAUUUGUAAUGCUAUAUUAACGACUAGAUUACAUAUCGGAUUAACCAAACACAGUUAUCCUAACAGAAUUGCCUAUAAUCCUGCCAGGAUAACUGGAACCAAACACACCCAUAUAUUAAUGUCUGCAGGGCGCUCUCUUGUUCAUGUGAAUGCAUACAUAUAUGAAUGAGAGCUGCUGAUUAAAAGGAUAAUUUUCAACAGUUAAUUUUAAUUUUUUUUUUAGUAUUUUCAUUCAUUUUAUUUGAUCUUUUUAUCGCCGAGUGUUGAAAGAGAUUUUGUCAACCUCUUUCGCGUUCGUGCUCGUAGGAGUAGUUCCGAUCGUACCUUGGGAUGGUGUUUCUGGUUAAUCCCGCACGAAGGACAGAAAAACGCCUUAGGGUAGUACUAUGCAUGCUUCCGGAUGAGUCAAAUUAUUUAUUUAUUUGGAUUUUAGCGUUCACCUGUAAGUACAUUUAUUAAUAUUCAUCACAAAAUUUGGUUAGAUUUUAAUUAUAAUCGAAUUUCGGUGCGGUAAAUUUAUGUAACAUAGGUGACUAAGACAAACUAGGUUGGCACAAGGUUUGUAAUAUAUAUUGAAAGCCUGAAUGAAUAGGGGGGCUCACUCUGAUGAUAAAAACUCACUACUAUAAAUUCAUGAUUUAGCGACAUUUACUCCGUAGCAUUUAUUUAAAUAACGCUAAUUAAUAUAUUUAACAGUAUUACUUGAUAAGUGCCGCUAAAUUUAAUAAUUUAUCAGCAAUUUACUAUUAAUGUUGCAAAAUAUAAUAAAUUAGCAACAUAAAUUUGUGAAUGCCGCCGAAGUUUUCACCAUUUUAUAAAAAAUGACACUAAAUCUAAUAAAGUAGCAGCACUUAUUGCUAAAUGCCGCAAUAUUUGCUCCGUAAUAUUUAUUUAAAUCAUGUCAAUUAAUAUAUUUAGCAGCAUUACUUGAUAAUUGCUGCUAGAUUUAAUUAUUUAGCAACAAUUUACUAUUAAUGUUACAAAAUAGGAUAAAUCAGCAGCAUAAAUUAGUAAAUGCCGCUAAAUAUAAUAAACUAGCAGCACUUGUUACUAAUUAUCAUUACUAAUUAAUAUAUAAUUAUUAAUUUAUUCUUUUUUAUUUAAAAUUAAAAAUUUUAAAUUUACAGUUUAAAAUUAGAAACAUAUAAUUUAAAAAUUAAACUUAUAAUUUAAAAUUUUAAAUUCUAAAAUUUUUAAUUUUUAAAUUUUAAAUUUUAAAUUUUUAAAUUUAUUUUAAAUUUCAAAUUUCAAAUUUAAAACUAUUAAUUUUGCAACUUAAAAUUUCAUAUUUCAAAAUUAAAAAUUUAAAUUUAGUAUCUAAAUAUAAAAAUUUAAAAUUUAGAAUUUUAAAAUUUUAAAAUAGAAAACUUAAAAUUUAAAAAAAAUUAAAAUAUACAUAAUUAAUAGUCGCUAGCGCAAGUGGCAAAGGGCUCGAUGGUUGGUAUUUGAGGUCUCAAGUUUAAAUCCUAGUUGAUUCACAUUUCCAGUAAAAUUUAUUUAAAAAGAAAUAAACGAAGCGGGUAGUAUCUCAAAAAAAUUAAAAUUUUAAAAUUUUAAUUUAUAAAAUCAGAUAUUUGUAUUAGUGGCAUUAUAUUUAUGUGACACUAAUAAAAAAUUUAAAAUAAGUAUUUAAUCCAUUUUAGCGGCAUAUUCCUAAUGACACUAAUUGAUUUAUAUUGGCGGUAUUUAUAAUAAAUGCUGCUAAUACUUUUAGCAACAUUAGUAUAGGCAGCAUUUGGUAUCAUAUGCUGCUAAAACUUUUAGCAGCAUUUGUUGAUUAUUCAGCAACAUAAAUAAAUGCCAUUAAUGAUUAAUUUUCUAGUAGUGACUACUUGGGAAGAAUAGAGAGAAUUAGAUGAAGGAGUGGGAGAAUCAUGCACCCACUGAGAAGGAACUGAAGAAAUAAGGAGCUGUUGUAGCUUUGAUACUAGAGCAAUGCUGUAAGGACUGAGAUUUUUGCAGUGUAGCUAAACUCUCAGUUGACGAUGUUUUUGUGUGUAAUUUAAUUAUAAAAGCACUCGUCAAGUUUCGGGCGAAAUCGAGUUAAAACGGAAAUUCUACGCGAUUUCCAAGUUUCACUUAAAGUGAAUAGUAACUCGAUUUUCCGGAGAAGCCGCGGUGAGAAGUUGGCUUCUUGCUCGUACCGGACUCUGUUCAUAGCAGUCCAAUAGCUCGUUUCGACUGGGUCAGCUAUUCUGGAACUAAUGGCGCUGACGGAUUUUGAGUUCGACGCACGGAUUUCGAGAAAAUCAAAAAAUACAUGUUUUACAUGUAUUUAUGUGUGUGUUUUCUUCUAUUCGAAGAAAGUUGGAUUUUGUCGUGAAUCCGUGGUCGAUCAAGACGAAACAAAAUCGUAGCCUUGUUGUCUCCGUCGUGCUGAUCGCACUGGUGCAAUCCGUUCGCAAAUCUGACGGACGGAUCUGCGGAGAUCGCGCGUUGAUCGAGGACCCAAGAAGGAUGAGAGGGGAGCCGAGAAAAGAAGAGAUGACGAGAGGAGAGAGGCCAGGGUAUAAAAAAAAAAAAAUUCCCCGAACAGCCUCGGCCGCGAAAGCGGGGAAGACCCUGUAAAACUCAGCUUUUUAUAUAUGUAAUUGAUUGAUCCCAUAUUUGUCUAGCCAUUAGCUUAAAUAAAGAUGUCAUAAUAAUGAUUUGGGAUAAGUUCAGAAGAAUAACUGAGGUUAGAUGCAUAAGUAAAAAACGACAUCAUUGAUUGCACAGAGCAAAUGCAGGAAUCACCGAAUAUAAUUAUUCUUAACAUCAUUAGAAAUAGAUUUUAGUUAGGACACAUUAUCCAAACUAAUGCACAUGCCUUAGGUGCAACCGCCGAGCACAAGCAAAAGCUUUUGUCUAGCUCAAAUUGCUUGAAAUAUAAUUUUUCGAAGCGCUAAAUUUAGCUCAAAGUUCUGCGAUUGCAAUGUAAUUUCGAGCCGAUAUGAGCGACGCUAAUUUCGAUCGAGCGAGCUGAAGCCCUAAACGACCGCUUGAAAUCUCAUAUCAUAGGGCCAAUUGUUAAUUUUAAAAAUAUAAUCUACAAUUUGAGAACAAAAACAUACUCUAAUAGUUAAGAUUAUAAAAUAUAUUAGAAGAUAACAGUAUUAUUACAAUAUGAAAGAAACAAAGUUUAGAGUUGAAUUAUCUAAAUCUUUCCAGCUUCGCAAUGGUCGAUCUUCUCUCCACGCUUCAUCUCCACAUUUAUUGUUUUUCAAUUUAUGCGGUCAAAAAUGAAUAAAAUUAUAUUGGCAAAUAUUGGAAUUAAACGAUCCAAUCAGAUAUUAACUAAAUCAAAUUUUGUAUAAACAAUAAGGUUUUACUAAUUAAAAUAUUCUAGUAUAUUUUUCAAUUACAACACAAUUAAUGAAAGAGUAGGCAACGCGAACGUUUUGUUAUUGCAACUUGGAGGAUCAGGACGUUGGCCGCUUAGGGUAAAGACAGAGAAGAAGAGAGAGAAGAGAAAGAGAUUAGGAUUUAAAGCUCUGUGAAAGAAUAAAUAAAGAGGGAGAGAGUGUAAAUUCUAGUAAGAUUUUGCCCUUUUGUUUGUUCUAUUGGGCUGUUUUUAUGGCCAGCAAUAUUGCCUUACAUUUUAAUUAAAUUAGAUUACUCACUCAAGCCCUAUAGAUAAUUAAAAUAUAUUAUAUUAUAUAUUUUUAAUAUAUAUAUUAUUAUAUAUAUAUAGUGAUAUUCGAUGCUUUUCGAGUCUAAUUCGAGCGAGCCAGGUAAUAUUCUACUCAGAGCUGCGGUUUGAAAUGAAUUUUGAGCCUUCUUCUCGUUUGUCAACUCGUCUUACAUUAUAGUUGCAAGUCUGACUCGAGCGAGUCGAAUAUCAGCCAACGUGAGCCGACUCGCUCACUUUGCAGCCCUACAUGGCUUGUCAAGACCAUAUAUAGUGCUAGCUCAAGCGAACAUAUGUAAAGACACUUCCAAAAAACAUAUAAAUUGAUGAUAAGAAGUUGUUUAGGUAAGAAUUUCAAAAAUUCUCCUAAUUAUUUAUUUUCUUUAUUAAUUUAGUACUAUUAUUUUAUUUAUUAUUAUUUUUAAUAACCUAAGAUUUUAUUGUGAACGGUUUGCGGCUUGAUGUCCAUGCACCCGGCUCUUCGCGGCGUCCACACUCUGUACACGUUAUAAUUAGCAUAAGUAUAAGGGCGCGUUGGUUCGAGUAUGGUAAUUUACAGAAUAUCGUCGACAAUUAUCUAGGUAUCUUGGAUUUCGGCGUGAGAUUAACUACUGAUACUGCAAUUAGAGCAUUUGUUUAAUACAGAUCAAUAAUACUAGAUUACAGUGUUUUUAUAGCAUUAAUAUUUUUGUUCAUUUAUAAAUUUGUAAUCUGAAUAAAAGCUAAGUUUCUUUUCCAAAAUUUCCUUGUGUGGUCAUUUGAAAUUAUUUUUUGGCAGUAAAUCGAAUGGAGGAGUGAAGAAGUCGUAGAUUUACUGAAAAGGACAAUCAAUCCAGAAGAUAAUAGGUGUCCGUGCGAGAGAAAAGAGAGAAGAAUGAGAGAGAAGAGCAGCGAGAGAAAGCGCGUGCAGAGAGAGAGGCUGGGGGAAGGAGAGAGAGAAUGAAAAUAAUGGCUGUUAAUUAAGAUUGGGCUUGUUUGAGGGUAAAAUUUGUCAAUUUUAUAUAAAUUAGAUAUAAAGGGUUUCAGUAUAUGCAGAUAUAAACGCCGCCCCUACCGUUAUAUAAUUUUCGAAUGUUACAUCACGCUCGAUUUGUUAAGCUAUAUUAAAGACUAGAUUACAAUAUCGGAUUAACAAACACCAGUUAUCCUAACAACAAUUGCCUUAAUCCUGCAGAUAACUGGAACCAAACACAGCCCUAUAAUAUUAAUUCUGCAGGGCGCUCUCUGUUCGAGGAUGAAGCAUAACAUGAUAUGAAUGAGAGCUGCUGGAUUAACAGGAUAAUUUCAAAGUUAAUUUUAAUUUUUUUUUAGUAUUUCAAUUCAUUUUAUUUGUAUCUUUUUAAUCGGAAGUUGUGAAAGAGAUUUUGUCACCUCUUUCCGGCGUUUCGUCUGUAAGGAGUAGUUUCCGAUCGAUUACUUUGGAUGGUGUUUCUGGUUAAUCCCGCGACGAAGGACAAAAAAACGUCCUUAGGAGUAACUAUGCAUGCCUUCCGGAUGAGUCAAUUAUUAUUAUUUGGAUUUUAGCGUCACCCUGUAAGUAAUUAUUAAUAGUUCAUCACAAAAUUCUGUUAGAUUUUAAAUAUAACGAUAUUUCGUGGGCGGUAAAUAUAUGUAAAUCAGUGACUAAAGACAAACUAGGUUGCAACAAGGGUUGUAAUAUAUAUUUGAAAAGGCCUGAUGAAUGUGGGGGCUCACUCUGAUGAUAAAACUCACUACUAUAAUUAUUAUGUUUAGCGACAUUUUACUUCCGGUAGCAUUUAUUAAUAUAACUGCUAAUCUAAUUAUUACAGUAUACUUUGAUAAGUGCGGCUAAGUUUAAUAUAUUUAUCAGCAAUUACGUAUUACAUGUUGGCAAAAGAAUAAUAUAUAGCAACAUAAAAUUUGUGAAUGCCGCCGGAUAGUUUUCAUCCAUUUUAUAAAAAAUGACACUAAAUCUAAUAAAUAGCAGACUUAUUGCUAAACCGGAAAAAAAAAAAAGAAAAAAAAAAAAAAAAACAAAAAAAAAAAAAAAAAAAAAACGCAAUAUUUGCUCGUAAUAUUAUUAAAUCAUGUCAAUAAUAUAUUAAGGCAGCACAUUACUUGAUGAAUUGCUGCUGAUUUAAUUUAUUACGACAAAUUUACUAUAAUGUUACACAAAUGGAGGAUAAAUACAGCAGGCCAUAUAAAUUAUAAUGCCGGUAAAUAGUAAUAAACUAGGGCAGCACUUUUACUAAUUAUCAUUAUAAUUAAUAUAUAAGUUAUUAAUUUUUCUUUUUUAUUUAAAAAUUAAAAAUUUAAAUUUACAGUUUAAAUUAGAAAACAUAUAUUGUAAAAUAAACUUAUAAUUUAAAAUUUUAAAUUCUAAAGAUUUACAUUUUUAAAUUUUAAAUUUAAAUUUUAAAUUUAUUUUAAAUUUCAAAUUUCAAAUUUAAAACUAUUAAUUUGGCAACUUAAAUUUCCAUAUUUUCAAAUUAAAAAUUUAAAUUUAGUAUCUAAAAUAUAAAUAAUUUAAAAUUUAGAAUUUUAAAAUUUUAAAAUAGAAAACUUAAAAUUUAAAAAAAAUUAAAAUAACAUAAUUAAUAGUCGCUAGCAAGUGCAAAGCUCGAUGGUUGGUAUUCUGAGGUCUCAAAGUUAAAAUCCUAGUUGAUUCACAUUUCCAGUAAAAUUUAUUUUAAAAAAGAAAUAAACGAAGCGGGUAGAUCUCAAAAAAAAUUAAAAUUUUAAAAUUUUAAUUUAUAAAAAUCAGAUAUUUGUAUUAGUGGCAUUAUAUUUAUGUGACACUAAUAAAAAUUUAAAAUAAGUAUUUAAUCCAUUUUAGCGGCAUAUUCCUAAUGACACUAAUUGAUUUAUAUUGGCGGUAUUUAUAAUAAAUCUGCUAAUACGCUUUUAGCAACAUUAGUAUAGGCAGCAUUUGGUAUCAUAUGCUGCUAAAACUUUUAGCGCAUUUUUGAUUAUUCAGCAACAUAAAUAAAUGCCAUUAAUGAUUAAUUUUCUAGUAGUGACUACUUGGGAAGAAUAGAGAGAAUUAGAUGAAGAGUGGGAGAAUCAUGCACCCACUGAGAAGGACUUGAAGAAAUAAGGAGCUGUUGUAGCUUGAUACUAGAGCAAAUGCUGUAAGGACUGGAGAUUUUUGGCAUGUAAGCUAAACUCUCAGUUGACGAUUUUGUGUGUGUAAUUUUAAUUAUAAAAGGCACUGUGCAAGUUUCGGUGCGAAAUCCGAGUUAAAACGAAAAUCUAACGCGUUUCCAAGUUUCACUUAAAGUGAAUAGUAAGCUCGAUUUUCCGGAGAAGCCGCGGUGAGAAGUUGUGCUUUUGCUUCGUACCGGACUCUGUUCAUAGCAGUCCAAUAGCUCGUUUCGACUGGGUCAGCUAUUCUGGAACUAAUGCGGCUGACGGAUUAGUUCGACGCACCGGAUUUCGAGAAAAUCAAAAAAUACAUGUUUUACAUGUAUUUUAUGUGUGUGUUUUCUUCUAUUCGAAGAAAGUUGAUUUUGUCGUGAAUCCGUGGUCGAUCAGACCAAACAAAUCGUCGUAGCCUUGUUGUCUCCGUCGUGCUGAUCGCACUGGUGCAAUCCGUUCGAAAAUCUGACGGAACGGAUCUGCGGAGAUCCGCGCGUUGAUCGAGGAGAGGUCGUAGUGGCAAAAUGUAUUUUCGCGAAAGUCGCGAUAUUUUAUGUACCGUUUUGCGUGAGAUCGCACGUGGAGGGUCGUUCACUCGGGCGUUUUAGUCGUUCGUGAAGGGCUCGGAUUGAAAUUCCGGUGUUUGGUGUACCUUUUUGCUAUUGUACCUGUUAUAUGUAGUUUCUAGGGUUUUGUUCCCUAACCCUAACCCUAGCCAGCCCCCAGCUACCCUCACAGUCGCCCCCAGCCACCUUCACCCUUCCCCUGCCCUUGCUGCACCACCCCCGGCCGCCGCCGAGCCACCACUUCUCUCUUUCUCACAUCUCUUCCUCUCUCCCUCUCCUCCUCUCGGGUUGUGUGAAGGCCCGGGCUGCGCCUCCUGCAGACCCCUCCCUCGGUGUCACCCCGGCUCCGGCGAGCAUCCCCGCCGACCGCCGCCGUCGGCUGCGCCGGCCGCAGCCUGCCCAGCCGCCUGCAGCAGCCCAGGCCGAGCCGGGUUGGCAGCCACCUGUGGCGCCGCCACCGCCUGGGAACCCUCCGCCGACUUCUCCCGUCCCGGCCCCCUUUCCGCCGUCACCACCGCCCCGACGCGCCGCCGUCGCCGCCUCGCCAGCCGCAGCCGCCCAGCCCCGCUCUGCGCGAGGCAGCAGUGCGACGCCCCCCUGCGCCGCGCCGGCUUGGGUCCGCACCCGAGGCACUCUCCCGACCUCGUGCAGCCCGCCUCCCGCCGUCCCGGAGCUCCCCGGCGCCGCCGUGGCCGCAGCAACCCAUGAACCCGAGCCCGAUCUCGUGCGGGCUCGUUUGCUCUCGGGGCCGCCGCCGCCGCCGCCGCUUCCAGCCGCCACCUGAGGUGAGCACGGUACUCCUAACCUCCCCGCACCCGUCCUGCCGCCGCGCGCGCCCGCCGUGCCGCCGGAGGGCCGGCCGGAGCAAGGUUGCUCCGCCAGCCCAAAUAGGCUUAUUAGUGAUGAUUUGUGUUCUGAGCUUCCCGAGCUUCCGCCAUCUCUACGAAGGGAGCACGAUGAUCCUAGCAAGUUUCUGAUCAUCGUGCUCACCUUAUUUCUGUCGGGAGACUCCGUUCCGCUGUUUUCGCGAUGUCGCUCUCCGUUUCAGCCUUUUUGGCUGCGUUUUGAGUUUGCGCACGCUUAUCCGGCAAUCCGAGGCUGUCCUGACUCCGGAGUGAGCACGGUGAUCGUGGGUCAGUGCUGAUCACAGUGCUCACCUCACUUUGAUCAGAAAUGUCCGUUAGUUUCUGUUCGGCGCGAUCUUCCCUGACUGCGCGCUAUUGCUGAACCUUCGGCUUGCUCCCGUGCUUCCCAUAGCGAAGCCGCUGUGCUCGCGGAUCGUGAGCACGGACUCCGGUAAUCGAGACCUGUCAGUAACGUGUCUCUGGCGGACUUCGAAAGUCCUCGUUUGCGUGAACGAGCCGCUUGAAAAGCCUCAAUAUUACAUAAAAUACGAUAUUUUAUGUAAUUAGAGGGUCUUUUAAUGCAUUUUGUGCUUUGCGUGGCUACUGUGGCAAGUGUGUAGGAGUUUUUAUUGAUCGCUGGAUGAUUGUCCAUGUCCGUUAGCUUUCGCGGAAGUCGUAGGUCGAUUUCGGUGCGUUUUUCGGCGAAAUUCGCCGAAAGAUAUGCGUUUCGUUUCGGAUUCUUUCCGACGGUGUUUUGUUGCUUCGUUGUUUGUCGCUGAGCCUUGUGGGCUGUCACCAUCGUCAUUUUGUGGGUUCGAUGAUGAUAGGUGAGCGACGGAGUUCGGUGUCGAAAUAACACUUCCGGAACCCGAUCCGUACGAUUUAUCCGGCGAUGAUCGUAUUGUUGUGUGACCUUGUGUUCGCUGCCAAGCUAUCCAAAUUGGAAUGCUUUGGGCCAGCGGGUGACUCGUGGCACGAUUUGGUGAGUUUCGGGACACUUAGUGGCCCGACGCGUCCCGUGUGGUUUUCGGGACUUCCGGUAAGUUACGGGGAUCGUUUUGGGAAACCGAUUCGGGAUCCUGUGUAGGGUUUGUGAGUCCUCGUGCUUUGGGUUAGUAGUUUUGGAUACUGACUUGGUGGAUCUUCUUAGGUCCGGUAGACUUGUGCUACCCAUUGUCCCGACGCGACAGUGACAGGUGGGUGCUGUCGAGCUGGUAGUCCGGUGAGAGCGUUUCACUUCCUUCUCCUGUUUUUCUAUUCCUGUAUUUAGACUCUACAUGUCAGUGCUUGUUAUCGUUGGUUAUCGUACCCCUUGAUGCAUUGUAUAUUUGUGGAUAGACAUGUAGAGCAGGUUGCAUUUGUAUUUCAGUAUCUCUGUGGAACCUUGGUCCAGGCAACACAUCGACUCUCUUGUCGUGUGUUUCGAUCUGGUUGAUUCGAGGUUCCGCGUUGUACGCCCUAGCUUCUAUUCAGUUUGGCGUUGUACGCCCUACUUCUAUUCAGUUUGGCAUUGUACGCCCUAGCUUCUAUUCGGUUUGGCAUUGUACGCCCUCGUUGUUGCUUCGGCUAGGCACCGGCUUUAGCCGGGUUUUGUUUUGUUUGAGCAUACCAGCAUUGACUUAGUCACAGCACUUGGGGGUAUUCAUGACACCGAUCGGUUUGGCCACGAUCGGAGGUUGUACUUAUCGCGAUAGGUCUCCUGCGGGGCGGAUGGAUAGGUCGUGCAGUUAGUAGACAGUAGCGCUUGAGGUCUGCGGACCGAUACAGCAGGCACAGAAUUGGGUACAGUUUCUGGUUCAGUUACAUUGAGGCAUUCUUUGCAUUAUUUUCUAUACAGUAGCAGGUUUAUUUAUUGCUUCUAUUUUAUCUGUUGUAGCUACCUGUAUUCCUAUUUCAUUUCAGCUUACAGAUAUUAUAUUUGUUUAUCUAUCUCCUUUCGGUUCGGUGAUUACGACUGCCUUCGGGCUCUGUCGUACCCACUGAGAAAAACCAUGGUUCGGUCUCUCACCCCCCUUUUUCCGCCCAAGGUGACAGAGACGAGGAUUUGGAUUUGGGCUCGAUGAAGGACGAUCUAGUUAGACCGGCAGUAGCGUCCGUCACCCUGGUUAUUUCUUUCCCGCCUUUUAGUAGUCAGUUAAAUAAAUGGUUCAGUUAGAUGUUUGAAUGUUUGUAUUUCCGUUAUGCAUGAGAUUAUGGAUAUUUUAUAUUACAUAGAGAUUGGAGGUUUUCGUUCGGUGUUUUGGUUCUGUGAGAUUGGUUUUCUUGUAAGUUAUGGCAUCGUGGUUUUCUACCCCUCGAGGUAGCGGUUUUCAAAAUAAAGUUUCCGUGUGGGAAACAGUUUUAAAAAGUUUUCGAAUGGCUUUUAAAAUGAUUGAAUUAGAGUUUAAAAACAAAAGCUUCCGUGUGGGGAGCACUUUAAAUAGGAUGUGUGUUGAAUUGUGCAUUGCAUCAUCCAGCGCCUAAAGUUCUUAGAGGCAUGCAGGCAUUCUAAGAAUUGUUAGCUGUAUGAAAAUGCAUAUCAUACUUGGUGUUGUUUGGUAAAUGUAGGUUUGGUGUGAUCUGUUGUAUCGUUGGUACGCCGUGCAGAUACAAAGGAGACUCCUGUCCGAGUGGACAGAGGAACUUUGUAUUUUGGCGGAUCUGUACGCGCGUGGCCAGGUUGAUNNNNNNNNNNNNNNNNNNNNNNNNNUUGAAAAAAAAAAAAAAAAAAAUGGCACGUUUUCCGCAACUCUGUUUUAAAAAGACUUUUAAAAUCGGCCCCGGGGCGUGACAAAUGCUGGGGAGGAGAUUACAGCCCUUUCCUUGUUGUGUUGUAAGCUUACCAUUUCUCUUGAUACUAUGUCAAUUAGAAACAAAAAAAAAUGAGGGUGAAUUGCACAUUUGGUCCUCAAACUUUGACGCAUGCGAAGCUUUAUUUGAUAAACUUAAUUUUCACAAUGUUCUCUUAACUUUUUGAACUAUUUCAAUAAGUCCUACAGUCCAAUUUCGUUUGCCUACUGAUGUUUUAUAGAUGUGAUAGAAAUAUAGUCUAGCUCCUAAUAAUUGUCAUGCCAUCAAUUAUAAGAUUGCCACAUCACUACUAUAUUCAGGACAUUUCAUCAUUUAACCAAUUAGAUUGGACUUUCGGACUUUAUUGUAAUAGUUUCCAAAGUUUAAGUUAGAAGAACCAACAAUUAAAGUUUAAGGGUCAAAAUGUCCUGACUCAAAGUUUGAGGAGAAAAAGUACAAUUUAGCCAAAAACUUAUGUGAGUCACCACUCCUUUCUGAGUAGGGGUGAAAACAGUCGAAUACGAUCGGAAAUUUGACGAACCUAUAUUUUGCAUCCAAAUUUUUUCAGAUGAGAAUUCAAAUGUGGAUAUAUAUCGAAUGCUAAAUUUUUAUUAUUGUAACGACUCAGCUCACUAGCAACAAUAACUCGUUGGGCCCAACAACCGGCCCAAAAUCAAUGACAACCCCAUGCAUUCCCAUCCGAUGUGGGACUAUUGAGGUGUCACAGACUCCCCCCGUUAAGGCCCUGACGUCCUCGUCAGUCCAAUCACACACACAGCCCAAGAUCACCAGGCGAUGUGAGACUCGUCUCGCUAGCCCGUCAUCCAGACCCUGGCUCAGCCGAAACUCGCCACACAUGUCCAGCUGGUGAACCGGCUCUGAUACCAAAUGUAACGACCCAGCCCACUAGCAACAAUAACUCGUUGGGCCCAACAACCAACCCAAAAUGCUUAAGCCCAGUUAUUAUUACUAGUGUCUAAGUCUCUUAUAAACCCAAUGACAACCCCCAUUCCCAUCCGAUGUAGGACUAUUGGGGUGUCACAAUUACCAUAUCCGCUAAAAACGGAUUCGAAUAAGAUCAGCUAUUUCUUCGAAUUCGAAUAUUAUUCAGAUAGUUAUAUAUACUAAUACGCACAUAUGAAUAUGAACUAGAAUUAGCAAUAAUUAAUUAAAAGUUUACAUUCGUGUUCGAAUUUUUAAAUACCUAUAUUUUAUUGAAUAACAUCUAGAAUUUAACAAACAUAACUACAAUUUUGAUAUAAAACUCAUAAUAAAAUAAAUGAAAAACACAACAAACCGCGCGCUUUAUUCCCCCACAAUAUAUGUAAGUAUUAACAAACAGCGCGCUUUAUUCCCCCACAAUAUAUAUAAGUAUUAACUUCCCCUUAUCUCCCCACAAAAAGCUUUCAAACCCUAAUCAACAUUUCCAAUUCCAAAUUUAUAAUUAUAAUUUAAUCUUAAAUUUAAAUUUAAAUAAUUAUUAUUAACUUUUAAAAAAUAAUUUGAGGUCUCUCACAUACGAGAGCUAUCUACCAUCUAAGCUACGUACCUAUUUUUUAUUUUUUCAUAAUAUAAUAAUAUGAGUUAAUAACAUAUAUUAAUUUUCAGAUAUCGAUCCGAAUCCGAAUCUGAAUCCAAAUUAUUCAUAUCCGAAUGUGAAUUCUAAAAUAUUAUUAAUGAAAUAUUUAAAUUCGAAUUCGGCCGGGUGCAUAAUUUUGACAUCCGUGUUCGCAUCCAAUUAUAUUGAAUCCGAUCAGAAUUUAUCUUAACCACUUUCGCCCCUAUUUCUGAGUUGUAUUUACAAUAUUACAAUAUCUAUACUACUUAUAAAAGCGUGAGUUUUAAAUUUUUUUCUCUUUCCAAAAAUAUCUCUAUAUUUUUUACUAAUAUUUUCACGUCCAGUAAUUUUCAACCAUUCGUUUCAAAUAAAUCUUCAAAUAAUAAUUUAUUCUCAAAUAUAGAUCUUAAGUUUUUGCCAUUGGAUCUCAUUCAAUGAAUAAAAAUAAAAGCAUUUGUCAUUUUUGUUGAAAAAAAAUGCCCUCCAUAUCCGUUAUCUCCUAUCUACGCGUUUGUCAAAUAUUUUCUUUCUACUUGCCAAUCACGUAAUACAUAAAAUUAAAAAUUAAAUUUAUCUCAAAUCUAAUGUAACGACCUAGCCCACUAGCAAUAAUAACUUAUUGGGCCCAACCACCAGCCCAAAAUGCUUAAGCUCAGUUAUUAUUACUAGUGUCUAAAUCUCUUAUAUACCCAAUCACAUCUCCAUUCAUAUCCGAUAUGUUUCUCAAAUAUUUUCUUUCUAUUUGCCAAUCAUUAAAGCCCAUUAGCAAUAAUAACUCGUUGGGCCCAACCACCAGCCCAAAAUACUUAAGCUCAGUUAUUAUUACUAGUGUCUAAGUCUUGACAUAGUCUAUCAUCUUAUCUUUCAGACCCUGUCUCAGCCGAGACUCACCACAUACCACUAGAAAUAAUAACUUGUUGGGCCCAACCAACAGCCCAAAAUGCUUAAGCUCAGUUAUUAUUACUAAUGUCUAAAUCUCUUAUAUACUCAUAUACUCAAUCACAUCUCCAUUCAUUUCCGACAUGGAAUUAUUGGGGUGUGACAUCUAACGUAAUACCCACCCAUCAUAUAGUACGUAAAAUUAAAUUUAUCACCGAUCUAACUUAAUACUCGCCAAUCACGUAAUAUGCAAAAUUAAAUUUAUCUCAUAUCCACGUGUUUUCUUAAAUAUUUUCUUUCUCAAACGUAAUACUCACCAAUCAUGUAGUAUUCAAAAUUAAAUUUUAAAUUUGUAAUGCCCGCCAAAAUUUAAUAUCGCCAAUUUGAUAAUUUAAAUUUUAAUUCUUGAUAGUCGAUUUUCUUAUGUGAGAUAGUAAAUUUAAUUUUGGCAAGUAUUAAAAUUUGGCGCGCUAUAGAAGCAUUACAUAUUGCUAAAAAAAUUUUAAUACCCGCCCAAUCAAAACUAAAUCGUUAAUUAAAUAUAAUUAUAAAUAUUUUUAGCAAAAUAUUCAAUAUUUAACUAAUGUGCUAUAAAAGCGUAGAAUAUUUUUUUAAAAAAAUUAAUACCCGCCCAAUCAACAAUAUUUAAGUAAUAACUGUCAAAAUAUUCUACGCAUUUCUCAAAUAUAGAGCAUAUCUUAACACCCUCACAUAUAAUAUCUACAGUAUCCAAUCUUAUCUCAUCAUAAUACUUAUCACACACUACCUGUCAAAAUAUUUUACACGUUUCUCAAAUAUAGAGAACAUCUUAAUACCCUCACAUAUAAUAUCUACAGUAUCCAAUCUUAUGUAAUCAAACUUAUCACACAAUACCCUCACAUAUAAUAUCUACAGUAUCAAAUCUUAUCUAAUCAAACUUAUCACAUAAUACAUAGAGCAUAGAAACGUUACAUACUGCUAAAAAAAAUUAAUACCCGCACAAUCAAAAUUAAAUCGUUAAUUAAAUAUAAUUUUAAAUAUUUUUAGCAAAAUAUUUAAUAUUUAAGUAAUGUGCCAUAAAAGCGUAGAAUAUUUCUAAAAAAAAAUUAAAUACCCGUUCAAUCAAAACUAAAUCGUUAAUUAAAUAUAAUUUUGAAUUUUUUUAGCAAAAUAUUUAAUAUUUAAGUAAUACCCGUCAAAAUAAUCUAUGCGUUUAUCAAAUAUAGAGCAUAUCUUAAUACUCUCACAUAUAAUAUCUACAGUAUCCAAUCUUAUCUCAUUAUAAUACUUAUUACACAAUACCUAUCAAAAUAUUUUACACGUUUUUCAAAUAUAAAGCAUAUCUUAAUACUCUCACAUAUAAUAUCUACUGCAUCCAAUCUUAUCUAAUCAAACUUAUCACACUAUACAUAGAGCAUAUUUUUUUUGGUAGCAUAUUUUUUUUAGUAUUUUCUCAUUUUCAUCUAUACGUUUUUCAAAUAUAAAACAUAUAUUUUUUUCAGUAAUGUUCUUUUUCAUUUUCACUUAUAUUUUUCUCAAUUAUUCUCAAAUAUUUUUUUUUAAUAAUAUCUUUUCUCAUUUGUCCCCGUUGCCAGCAGGUACAUCGUCAUCGUCCUCCUCAUCGUCAUCAUCAUCAUCGGCGCCGGCACAUUGUCGCCUUCACCACCUUCGCCAUAAUUGGAAAGGCAUUUUGAUCCCUAUUUCUCUUUUUUUUUUAAUAUGCCUUUAUACUUUUUUAACAUAUCUUAUUUUAGCAUAUCUUAUUUUAGUAUUUUUCUCAUUUUUCACCUAUACGUUUCUUAAAUAUAAAGCAUAUAUUUUUUUAGUAAUAAUUUUUUUUUAUUUUCACCUAUAUUUUUUAAAUAUUCUCAAAUAUUUUGUUACAUACCUGACUCUACGCAACCGGUCGAUGAUGAUAAUUUGCUGAGACGAGGACGGCGUGGAGGAUGAUGGCCAAUCAAAUCGGUAUCUCGACAACUACCUGUGAUGCCCCAACUUCCCAGGGGGUCACCCAUCCUAGGACUACUCCCGUCCUAGCACGCUUAACUCUCUUAACCUCUUGGGCCUUGCAACCACCCAAAAUGCUUAAGCCGGGUUAAGAGUUUAACCCUAUUAUAUCUCAUAUAUAGGACUAUCUGGGAUCUCACAAUCUCCCAUCAUUUUAAGCCUUGACGUCUUCGUCAGGCUCAGACUCACAAGUACCAGGCGAUGUGAGACUCAUCUCGCUAGCCCGUCAUCCAAACCCUGGCUCAGCCGAGACUCAUCUCACACUUCCGGCUGGUAAUUGUCAUAAUAUUUCAAUCAUUCAUUUCUUUGCAUUCUUUACUAUCACUUGUGUCAUAUACACUACUAUAUUCUUGGACUCAUGCCACACUUGUUUUCUAAGUGUUCAACAUGCCAUAAGUGUUUCCACUAUACUAAUCAUAUGCCACUCGAUCUAAUAUAUAUAGAUUGUCCACGUCACAUAUCAUAGUUCAUACGUCAUUGUUUUCCAACGUCGAGUUUUCUAACCAUCCAAGAGUUAUAGACCCAAGUUCAACAUGCAUAUGUUAUUUAACAUAGUCCACAAUACACCAACGUGCAUAUAUAUAUCAACUCAUAUCUCAAGGUAUAUCAACAUGCAUACAUUUCCAUCUACUAUGUUCCACAAUAUGAUAAUAUGUCAUCAAGUAUGUUUUUCUAUUUAAUAUAAUCCACAAUAUGUUAAUUCAUAAUAUGUCAUCAUGCACAUAUACCACUAGCAUCACAUGAUAUGUCAAUAUAGAUAUAGUCAUUAUCCAAAAUAGUUCAUACUUAGAAUCUCAUGCAUUCUUUUAGCAUUUAAUUUACUAUGCAUCUCAUCUCAUUGGUAGGUAAUCUCAACUACAUAGUAUGUUUCAAGCAUUCAUAUCAUUAUGUAAGCCUACCAACACAACUAUAUGCAUCAAUUAGAAAACCAUUACUCUUAGACAUAUAGGCGACCUAGUCGCUUCGGUGAGCACAACCCACCAGCAUGCCAUGACAUGUAACAAUUGCCAACUAGUACCCUAUAAUGCAAUAUCCCAAUAUGCAACUUGAUCAAUGUUAACUAGAGUUUGUAGUACAACAACCAAUCCAUUACUAAGUUCAAGUCAUAUGUGUUUUUAGCACAAUAAGUUCAAUGCCACUUGUAAACUAUGUCUUUAAACACAACACUAGGUUCUUCUCUCAUUUAGCAUCAUAGGUUUACCAAUGUCCUCUCAUAAUCCUUAUGUCUAUUACAUCAUAUAUCCAUAUCAUAAUACCAUAUUGAUCAUAAACAUCAUAUAAGGAUUAGGAAUGCAUGUAUUGUCAUCCUAUAAUGCAAGGUAUCGAUAUACAAUAUGCUACAUGUGAAUGGAUAAGUACUAAGACAUAGGAAGAAGCCCGAUUGCUUCGGGAUGUCACUCCCCCACUUUAAGUCCUUGCUCGAGGUUGUGGUAGCUCCCCCUCGGGUGAUGUGCUCCGGAGUCGACAUCACUGGGUUGUAGCGGGUAUCUCCCCAGAGGACGGUCCCACCGGGUUGUAGCGGGUAUCUCCCCGGUUAAUGGGAUUUUGGGU
rnacentral:lncRNA from 1 species